AUAAUACUGAAUGUUUUGUCAGUGACCCAGGAUUACUCACGCAACUAGCUGGACACAUCAGAGGUUAUACACACUAGCAAACCCAGAGCACACAUGGAAUUUGAUGCCAUGAAUACUUGCUACAGAUUUUUUUUAUUUGAAAUACAGAGAGAAAGAACGGUCGUUGCACGACCGACCUAAACACAAACCACCUUCCUAAUGACUCGUGCCAUCCCACGAAUCAGAUCCUGCGUCCAGGAUCUACAGCUCCACUAUUAUCGCGUGCGAUCUGAUGUGCCAUGCCAUCCCAUGACUCGGUUCACGACGCGGUAGAAACAGGAGCGACCCCAACCUGACACAUGGACUCGAUGCAUGGACUCGACGCAAACAUGCUUGCUGUCGAGACCGACUCUCAGUGUGUACCAUCUGCUCGCAGGCAGGUCUAUGGCACGUUAUUUGGAACAAACAGACUGAAGGGAAAAAAACCUAGGGCAUUCACUUAGUUUACAUCAAUGGAUCAGCCCUCAAUCCACAAACCCACAUGGCGAAGUUGUCUUAGUGAAUCUCGUCGUUCUCCGAGUCGGAUAAGUGGUUGUCAACCUGCUCGUCCCAAGCCUGCCAUGCCGUCAUCCCCAAACACUACAUCGAGAUCCAUUACAUUACAUCAUGACCAGGUGGAAAAAACUGAAAUCUUGGAAAAAUUGAAAGGAGAUCGAGUUCAUACCCUCCUCAUCUGGACACGGCGGUUCUUGAACCAGAAUUUGAUCUGCUGGGGCUGCACGCCAAGUUCGCGGCCGAGAUGGGCAUGCUGGGUCUCAUCAGGGUUGGGGCACACCUUGAAAGUCCUGCAGUUUUCAAAAAACGAAAACGAAAACCUUGAAUACCCUGUACAUGGAUCACCAUGAAAAUAUGACACGAGAAAUAAGCCAUAGGAAAUGGUGCUUGAUCAACCUCUCGAGGAUCUGAAUCUGGUUGUCACUUAGAUCGAUUGUUACCAAUUUCUUGCUUGCUCGCUCACUCUCCCAGGCUGCCUAGAGGAACAGGAAGUGGAGGCAGGAAGAUAUCUUCGUUCUGGAUGCUAUCUGACCUCUGGUUUGCUCCUAUUUAUACAUGAGAGGGUGCUAUUUCUCCUCUGUCAUAGUGCUGGCGCAAAGAAGCAUCCGUCUGUGUGACCUCUGGCUUGCUGCUGGCAGACUCCUGGCCGGUCUCUCUUAAUGCCUCCUAGUAUUUGGCUUCUUCCACCCUAUAAUGCUGACCGUCCUUCCCUGUAUUGCUCGGGAGCGCCAGCAGCAGAAACGUUGGCUUUGACUUCUGACAACCUUGGCGGGCUCGCUGGGUGGUCUUGUUGGUUUCUCUUUAUGCCUCUCUCUUGGCUUUGUCCCUGUCUUGCUCGGGAGCGCCAGCAGUAGCGUGGUAGUACUAGUAACUGAUGCAUUGUCAGAAGUGUAUCAACACAUUCAUUUUAUCAGAAGUACUAUUGGGUUUAUUGACCUCCGAUAUAAGAAGCAGUGCUUUCCGAUUUAAACCAUAUAAUCUAUAGUUUUAUUUAGCAGAAUUUGCUAAUAACCUUCAAAUCAAACAACUUAAGAGUUUAUGGACCUGCUUCUGUACGUGUCCUACUGGGUUUGGGCCAAGAAAUCAGAGAGACCUGAAAAUGGCCUGUGACAUGUCUUGAGUUCUUAAUUUUUCCCCUCCCACAAUUAACAUUGUUCCUCUUGUAGAAAGGGAGAUAAUUAAUCCUGAAGUUACAUCCAUGUAUGGCUUGUUAACCAUUAUAAUAAAUUCUGCAAUAUUUUAGCAUGCAAUUGAUAGGCAUUAAUUUCCAGCCUCUUAUGUAUGGAUAUCAAAUUAUUGAAGCCAUAGUACGGGUGGGUCGUUAUCCUCUAAACCGUAAUAUGGGAUCAUAUUCGAUGUAAGAAAACUAGCAUAUAACAAUGACCGACCUAUUAUUGCAAGCACUAUCAUGUAUCUGCAGGCUAGAUAUGGCAAUAUGUUUCCUUCAGUGCACCAUUGCACUCCUUUUACAAUGGACUUUCUUUUACAAUAUAUGUUCAUCACUUCAUCUACAUGGGAGAUUUUAUUUAGUCUUUUUUUUAUUAAACAUGAAACAACACAACAUCAAGACCUUGAUCCACAAUUCUUGUUGCAUGGUAUAUAUUUCACUCCGAUGAAAGUUGUGAAGUAACAUGCCUUUUUCCAAAAGAUUAUUUCCCGUCGCUUGUUCCAAACACACGACACAUCCUUCGGCCAUAAAACUACAACAACUACUACUAGGGAUAACCCGAGCAGUCGUGCUUGUUUUAUAGCUAUCAGUAGCGCUUGUACAAGCGCUACCAGUAAGGCGCUACAACUAACUGGUAGCGAUAGCGCUGGUUUUCUAGCGCUACUGCUAUACCUACUUAGCAGUAGCGCUCGGUAGGGAAAAGCACUACUGAUAAUAGUAAGUAGCAGUAGCGUUUCUCUUGAAAAGCGCUACUGCUAAAUUUUCCUGUAUUUUUGAAAAUGCAGCUUAUUGUCGCUAUAUUUGUAUAGGUUUUAUAUACAGUACUUUCAUCACAUGAUUUUAUGACCAUGAUUAGUUAUUAUAUAUAACAGUGGGUGAAAUGAACGUGGUGAUUCAAGUAGAGUCAACAUGUGGUGCAUGUUGAAAGUACUACUAAUCCAAACUUGAUCUAGUUUGGAUUUGUUGUAUUUUCGAUGUGCACCACAUGUUGCCUCCACUUGAAUCUAAUCCAUGCUCAUUUCACCCACUGAUAUACUCCCUCCAUUCCCUUAUACAAGGCCACAAACUCAUAUUACAGAUACCAAGAUAAAACUUAAUGACUCCUUUGCAAGUCCACUUUUCUUUUCGUUAUCCGGGAUUAUUAAUACACCACAAGCAUGCAACGAAUGAAUGGGAAGGAACUGUCUGAGUGUCAUUAUGACUACAUGCAUGUAAGUAUUAAAAAGUUGCUAGUACGAAGAAACAUCAUUAAUUUUUGCGUCGAUUACUGUUGGUAGCCUUGUAUUGAUGCAAAAUGUAUUUUUGAUAGUGGCCUUGUAUAAGGGAAUGGAGGGAGUAUAUAAUAACUCAUCAUGCUCAUAUACAACUUAGCAUCAUACAUCAUCAUAAUAAUAAAUAACUCAUCAUUGGUAUCAUAAUAACAAGUCCUACUCAUCAUCAUCAUACAACUUCUACUCGUUAUCAUAAUAACAAGUCAUACUCAUCAUCAUCCUAGUCAUCUAACCAACUCUACUUAAUUGUUCUUAGCACAUGAUCAUGAGUAUUAGCUAGGACCUAACUACCCUAUCUAAGGUAAAAUAGCAUAAAACAAGAUAGGCCCUAAAUCUCCACUAUGGAGAAUGGAGAUUAUCCUGUCUCCAGUUCUUGCGUUUCGCAUAAUGUUGCUUCCAUGUAGCUCCCUAUGAUUUUCUAUACAUUUUUUCCAAUCUUUGAUUGUCAUGUCUUCAUCGAUAUUAGAAAUCCGGUAUGAACAGCAGUGAAGCCUAGGAUGACCUGACCGUAAGCUCAUAGCAUCAAGGCGACCUUUCGGAAGCAUCAGAUCAGCACACAAUCCUUCGGGAUUUUCUGUUGAAAAACAUAGUAAUAACUCCGUAGUUAGCAAUGUAGUUUAGUUUUAGAAGAAUUUAUGCAAAGGAUGCAUGGAUGUCGUAAUAGUAAAAAAAUCUUACCAUGCAAUCUCCAUGGAUGUUACCGUAGUUCAACACGUGCACUAGUGGCACGUAUUGACCAUAAUGUGCAGGAGUUUGAUAAUUGAUAUUGUAAUUCUCAACAUCAUUAAUAAAUGAGAUAAGAUGAUCUUUCUCCUAAUAAGUUAAUUCUGCACCAUCAGUAUAGUAGGUUCUGUCUACCAUCUUGCGUACAUUUUUUGAAGAAUGAAAAUAAGCCGUUAACAGAAAUAAGUUGUCAACUAUUUUGAAACAAACAAUAUAAAUUACUUAAUAAAUAUGUUUGAGAAACUCACAUAAAGGUAGAAGUGGAAGCGUAUCAACAAGGACCCAAAUGCCAUCAUCAUGAUAACCAAGAUCGAAGGUGACAUACAUACCCUCCUGAAAAUCAUAUGCCUUGCACAGUGCUUCCGAAUUCGAGCAACCAAAAUGGGCUACGCUCUCCGAAUUGUAUAAGUUUACAGAAAAAAUCAUAACCAUGAUUGGUCUUGAGAUGAAUUAUUUCUGUCUCCAUAUUUUCAUGAUCUUCGAAAUCCAGAUGCUCCAAGACAUAGCUUUUUGCAUCGCAUGGGAUAAGCUAGUCGAAUUUUGAUCAUGUGUACGAAAAUUAUUUAUAUUUUUUUUAAAAUUAUUUGUGUAAAUAAAACAAAUAUUAAUCAUGUGUGCCUCCACGAGUGUGCAUCUUGUGGAGCAAAGAAAACGUUUUUUCUCCUUUGUCGCGGAAGCAAAUAUGUGCCUCUACGAGAAGCGAAUCUCGUGGAAGACAAAGGAACACAUCAUUUUUCCUUUUUCGAGAGGCACAACUGUGCCUCUCGCGAAAGCAAACAUAUGCCUCCAUGAGAAGCAAAUUCGUGCUUCUUGAGGAAGCAAAAGAAAAUGUGUUUUCCUGUUUUUGAGAGGCACAACUCUGACUCUUGCUGAAGAAAAACUGUGCAUCCAUGAGAAGCAAAUCUAUGCUUCUCGUGGAAGCAAAAAAACUCAUAUUUUCUCCUUUUUAGAGAAGCACUGUUCUGCCUCCCAUGGAAGCAAUUUGUGCCUCCAUUGAGAAAAACUGUGCUUCUUUUCACGCAAUAGUUUUUUUUCAAUUUUUCUCUCUCCAAAACCUAGGGCUAGCCAGGCGAAUACCAAAAACACGAAAAAACCAUCUAAAACUCAAAAAUGCGUACAUGGAAAAAAUUUCUAAGGGAGUGCCUGAUGUCUACUACACAACGUUUCUUCUUAUAGACUCUGUUGGGACUUCGAGUGCACAGUUUUGUAUGACAUCCGCACAUUUUCCUCAGGUGGAUGACCUAAUAUUUAUCAAUUUGUGGGAGGUGUAGGAUCAAGAUGAUUUCUCUCAAACAAACCUGGAAUCAAAUACAAGAAAUCUCUUGGCCCCAACACACCCAAUACAAUGGUAAAUUAUAUAGGUGCACUAAUUUGGCGAAGAGAUGGCGAUACAAGUGUAGUAUGGAUAGUAGCUAUAGGCUUUUGUAAUCUGAAAUAAUAAAAACAAUAAGGUAGCAAGUAACAAAAGCGUGCACAAACGGUAUUGCAAUGCUUAGAAACAAGGCCUAGGGUUCAUAAUUUCAUUAGUGCGAUCUCUCAAUAGUGCUAACAUAAUUGAAUCCCAUAAUACUCCCUCAACGUAUGACAAUAUAUUUUUAUGUGAAAGCUCUCUUCCCUAUACUAAUCAUUCAUGAAUUGCUUGUAUGACCAAUAUUAUUAUUGGCAAACUUUAAUAGAUUUUACUUUAUAAACCCAAUAUAAAAUAUUCCUAAGCAUAUGGAACAUAUAUAAUUUGGGGCUUAUGAUAUUCAAUUCAUUCAACAAUUUACUCUUAGGAUAUAAGUGAAGCACAAGAGUGAAUGACAAACUACUCCAAAAGAUUUGAGUGAAGAUCAAUGAGUAGUCAAACAAUUAAUUAGCUAUGAGUAGUCAAAAUUUUAGAACCAAGUAUUUUAUUCAAACAACAAACAAAAUGAAAAGACGCUCCGAGCAGAAUACAUAUCAUGUGAUGAAUAAAAAUAUAGUUCUAAGUGGGGUUACCCAUAAUGUUGAAGACAAAAAGAGGGGAUGCCUUCCGGGGCAUCCUGAAGCUUACAUGCUUGAGUCUUCCUCGAAUAUUACCCAAGCUUAGGGUCUUGCUGCUUGUUAUUAUCCUCAUGUUAUAUCUCACCCAAAACUUGAAAACUUCAAUCACACAAAACUUAACGAAAGUUCGUGAGAUGCAUUAAUAUAAUAAAACAAAUCAUUCACUUGGGUGACGUCAAGACAAGAUUCAUACUUGUUUCCAUAGAAUGCCUAGUGUACUCUAUAAUUUAUAUUGACCAAUAUAAGCCAUAGAAAGUAUAAAACAAGCAAACUAUACAUUGAAAAUAGAACCAGUCAAAAACAGAACAGUCUCUAAUGAUAUGAACAAAAACCAUACUUCUGAAACACUAAAAAUUCUUACAAAAUAGGAAAAUGUAGGAAAUUUGUAUAUUAACACUGUUUAAAAAAUUCAGAUAAAAAGCAUGUUCCAGUGAAUUAUAUAAAUUCCUAGACUUAGCACAAAAGUUUCUGUUUUGCAUAGAAUCAAGUCAACUAUCAUCCGCACUAUCCCAAAGGCUUUACUAGGCACUUUAUUGAAACAAUAGCUAUAAACAUAACUACUACACUAGCUUAAUCAUGUGAACACAGAUAAAAAGUAGGUAGAAAUGUUGGGUUGCCUCCCAACAAGCGCUUUUGUUUAAUGCUUUUUUAGCUAGGCAUGAUGAUUUCAAUGACGCUCUCAUAAAAGUAAAGAACCGAAACAUAACGGGAGCAUCAUGAAGCAUAUGACUAGCACAUUUAAGCCUAACCCACUUUGUAUGCAUAGGGAUUUUGGGAGUAAAAACAAAUUAUGGGAGGAAGAAUCAACUAGCAUAGGAAGGCAAAACAAGUAUGCCUUCAAAACUUUGAACACAUAGAGAGGAAACUUGAUAUUAUUUAGAUAUGUAAAAGCAAAUGUUUUCUCUCUCAUAAUAAUUUUUAGUAGCAUCAUGAACAAAUUCAACAAUAUAACUAUCAUACCAAGCAUUUUUUUUAUAAUCCAUAAGCAUAUAAAUUUUAUUACUCUCCACAUAAGCAAAUUUUUUCUCAUUCAUAAUAGUGGAACCAAACUCAACAAAAUGACUAUCAUAUGAAACAUGUUUGACAUAACCCUAUUGAACAUUAAAAUCAUGAUGACAAUUUUCAUGGUUGUUGUUACUUUUUAUAGCAUACAUGUCAUCACCGUAAUCAUCAUAGAUAGUAACUUUGUUUCAUAAUCAAUUGAAAUCUCUUCCAAAAUAGUGGAAUCAUCAUUAAAUAAAGUCACGACCUCUCCAAAUCCACUUUUAGCAUUAUUCCUUGAACACCCUCCAAAAUAGUUGGAUCAUUACUACCUAGAGUUGACACUCUUACAAACCCACCUUCAUCAUUGUAAUCAUCCUAAAUAGGAGGCAUGCAAUCAUCAUAAUAAAUUUUCUCAUCAAAAAAGGGGGCUAAAAAGGUCAUCUUCAUCAAACAUAGCAUCCCCAACCUUAUGGCUUUGCAUAUCAUUAGCAUCAUGGGUAUUAAAAGAAUACAUACUAAUAUAAUUGCAACCAUGCUUAUCAUCCAAAUAUUUUAUGCCAAACAUUUUUGAAUUCUUCUUCUAACAUUUUGGCACAAUUUUCGGAACCAUCUUUUUCAAGAAAGACAUCAUAAAGAUAAAAAACUUGAUGCAACUUCAAUUCCAUUUUUUGUAGUUUUCUUUUAUAAACCAAACUAGUGAAAAUCGAGAAACUAAAAGAUUCGAUUGGAAGAUCUAAAGAUAUAACUUCAAGCACUCACCUCCGCGGCAACAUCGCCCAAAAAGAACUUGAUGUCUACUACACAACUUUUCUUCUUGUAGACUCUGUUGGGCCUCCAAGCACAGAGUUCUGUAGGACAAAAGAAAAUUUUCCUCAAGUAGAUAACCUAAGGUUUAUCAAUCCGAGGAAGGUGUAGGACGAAGAUUGUCUCUCUCAAACAACCCUUCAAUCAAAUACAAGAAAUCUCUUACGUCCCCAACACACCCAAUACAAUGGUAAAUUGUAUAGGUGGACUAGUUUGGCAAAGAGAUGGUGAUACAAGUGAAGUACGGAUAGUAAAUAUAGGUUUUCGUAAUCUGGAAUAAUAAAAACAGCAAGGUAGCAAGUAACAAAAGUGAGCACAAACGGUAUUGCAAUGCUUAGAAACAAGGCCUAGGUUUCAUGUAUACCUUCACUGGUGCAAUCUCUCAACAGUGCUAACAUAAUUGAAUCACAUAACAAUCCCUCAACGUACUACAAAUAAUCACUCCAAAGUUCUUAAAGAUAGCAGAGAACAUAAGAUGAAAUUGUUGUAGGUAGCAAACCACCUCAAAUUUAUCUUUCGGAUCAAUCAAUUGAGCCAUCCCUAUAAGUGUCACAAAUAGCCCUAGAGUUCGUACUAAAAUAACAGCAAGUGAUAUGUAUCCAUCAACUCUAAUGUCACCUAGAUACUCCAGUGUCACCACAAGUAUCCAAUGUCCCUAGAUACAUCAAGAUCGUGCCAAAUAAAGAACACGAGAGAGAGAGAGAGAUGAUACGUCUCCGUCGUAUCUACUUUUCCAAACACUUUUGCCCUUGUUUUGGACUCUAAGUUGCAUGAUUUGAAUGGAACUAACCUGGACUGACAUUGUUUUCAGCAGAAUUGCCAUGGUGUUAUUUAUGUGGAGAAACAAAAGUUCUCGGAAUGACCUGAAACUCCACGGAACUUAUUUCUGGAAAAUAUUAAAAAUAUUGGCGAAAGAAUCAAGGCCAGGGGCCCACCACCUGUCCACGAGGGUGGGGGGCGCGCCCGCCCCCCUGGGCGCGCCCCCCUGCCUAAUGGGUGUUUGGGUAUCGUAGCAUAAUUUUAAAAUUUUCCUAUGCUCACCAAGAUGCAUCUAUGGAGUAUACUAGCAACGAGGGGAAGGGAGUGCAUCUACAUACCCUUGUAGAUCGCGAGCGGAAGCGUUCCAAUGAACGUGGAUGACGGAGUCGUACUCACCGUGAUCCAAAUCACCGAUGACCGAGUGCCGAACGGACGCCACCUCCGCGUUCAACACACGUACGGUGCAGCGACGUCUCCUCCUUCUUGAUCCAGCAAGGGGGAAGGAGAGGUUGAUGGAGAUCCAACAGCACGACGGCGUGGUGGUGGAUGUAGCGGGUCUCCGGCAGGGCUUCGCCGAGCUUCUGCGAGAGAAAGAGAGGUGUUGCAGGGGAGGAGGGAGGCGCCCAAGGCUGUAGGUUGCUGCCCUCCCUCCCCCCCUUUAUAUAGGCCCCCUGGGGGGCGCUGGCCCUAGAGAUGGGAUCUCAUGGGGGGGGCGGCCAAAAGGGGGGGAAGGGGUUGCCUUGCCCCCCAAGGCAAGGGGGAAGCCCCCCACCCUAGGGUUCCCAACCCUAGGCGCAUGGGGGGAGGCCCAAGGGGGGCGCCCCAGCCCACUAAGGGCUGGUUCCCUUCCACUUUCAGCCCACGGGGCCCUCCGGGAUAGGUGGCCCCACCCGGUGGACCCUCAGAACCCUUCCGGUGGUCCCGGUACAAUACCGGUAACCCCCGAAACUUUCCCGGUGGCCGAAACUUGACUUCCUAUAUAUAAUUCUUCACCUCCGGACCAUUCCGGAACCUCUCGUGACGUCCGGGAUCUCAUCCGGGACUCCGAACAAAUUUCGGGUUUCCGCAUACACAUAUCUCUACAACCCUAGCGUCACUGAACCUUAAGUGUGUAGACCCUACGGGUUUGGGAGACAUGCAGACAUGACCGAGACGCCUCUCCGUUCAAUAACCAACAGCGGGAUCUGGAUACCCAUGUUGGCUCCCACAUGUUCCACGAUGAUCUCAUCAGAUGAGCCACGGUGUCCAGGAUUCAAUCAAUCCCGUAUUCAAUUCCCUUUGUCAAUCGGUAUGUUACUUGCCCGAGAUUCGAUCGUCGGUAUCCCAAUACCUUGUUCAAUCUCGUUACCAGCAAGUCUCUUCACUCGUACCGCAAUGCAUGAUCCUGUAACUAACGCCUUAGUCACAUAGAGCUCAUUAUGAUGAUGCAUUACCGAGUGGGCCCAGAGAUACCUCUCCGUCACAUGGAGUGACAAAUCCCAGUCUCGAUCCGUGCCAACCCAACAGACACUUUCGGAGAUACCCGUAGUGCACCUUUAUAGUCACCCAGUUACGUUGUGACGUUUGGCACACCCAAAGCACUCCUACGGUAUCCGGGAGUUGCACAGUCUCAUGGUCUAAGGAAAAGAUACUUGACAUUGGAAAAGCUCUAGCAAACGAAACUACACGAUCUUUUAUGCUAUGCUUAUGAUUGGGUCUUGUCCAUCACAUCAUUCUCCAAAUGAUGUGAUCCCGUUAUCAAUGACAUCCAAUGUCCAUAGUCAGGAAACCAUGACUAUCUGUUGAUCAACGAGCUAGUCAACUAGAGGCUUACUAGGGACACGUUGUGGUCUAUGCAUUCACACAUGUAUUACGAUUUCCGGACAAUACAAUUAUAGCAUGAACAAUAGACAAUUAUCAUGAACGAAGAAAUAUAAUAAUAACCAUUUAUUAUUGCCUCUAGGGAAUAUUUCCAACAGUCUCCCACUUGCACUAGAGUCAAUAAUCUAGUUACAUUGUGAUGAAUCGACCCUAGGGAGAGGUUUAGUCAACGGAUCUGCUACAUUCAGGUCCGUAUGUACUUUACAAAUAUCUAUGUCUCCAUUUUGAACACUUUCACGAAUGGAGUUGAAGCGACGUUUGAUAUGCCUGGUCUUCCUGUGAAACCUGGGCUCCUUCGCAAGGGCAAUAGCUCCAGUGUUGUCACAGAAGAGAGUCAUCGGGCCCGACGCAUUGGGAAUCACCCCUAGGUCGGUAAUGAACUCCUUCAUCCAGACUGCUUCCUGUGCUGCCUCCGAGGCUGCCAUGUACUCCGCUUCACAUGUAGAUCCCGCCACGACGCUUUGCUUGCAACUGCACCAGCUUACUGCUCCUCCAUUCAAAAUAUACACGUAUCCGGUUUGUGACUUCGAGUCAUCCAGAUCUGUGUCAAAGCUAGCAUCGACGUAACCCUUUACGACGAGCUCUUCGUCACCUCCAUAAAUGAGAAACAUAUCCUUAGUCCUCUUCAGGUACUUCAGGAUAUUCUUGACCGCUGUCCAGUGUUCCAUGCCGGGAUUACUUUGGUACCUUCCUACCAAACUUACGGCAAGGUUUACAUCAGGUCUAGUACAGAGCAUGGCAUAAAUAAUAGACCCUAUGGCCGAGGCAUAGGGGAUGACACUCAUCUUUUCUAUAUCUUCUGCCGUGGUCGGGCAUUGAGCCGUGCUCAACUGCACACCUUGCAACACAGGCAAGAACCCCUUCUUGGACUGAUCCAUACUGAACCUCUUCAAUAUCUUGUCAAGGUAUGUACUCUGUGAAAGACCAAUGAGGCGUCUUUAUCUAUCUCUAUAGAUCUUGAUGCCUAAUAUAUAAGCAGCUUCUCCAAGGUCCUUCAUUGAAAAACACUUAUUCAAAUAGGCCUUUAUACUUUCCAAGAAUUCUAUAUCAUUUCCCAUCAAUAGUAUGUCAUCCACAUAUAAUAUGAGAAAUGCUACAGAGCUCCCACUCACUUUCUUGUAAACACAGGCUUCUCCAUAAGUCUGUGUAAACCCAAACGCUUUGAUCAUCUCAUCAAAGCGAAUGUUCCAACUCCGAGAUGCUUGCACCAGCCCAUAGAUUGAGCGCUGGAGCUUGCAUACUUUGUUAGCAUUCUUAGGAUCGACAAAACCUUCCGGCUGCAUCAUAUACAACUCUUCCUUAAGGAAGCCAUUAAGGAAUGCCGUUUUGACGUCCAUCUGCCAUAUCUCAUAAUCACAGCAUGCGGCAAUUGCUAACAUGAUUCGGACGGACUUCAGCUUCGCUACGGGUGAGGAAGUCUCAUCGUAGUCAACCCCUUGAACUUGUCGAUAACCCUUAGCGACAAGUCGAGCUUUGUAGAUGUUCACAUUACCAUCUGCGUCCGUCUUCUUCUUAAAGAUCCAUUUGUUUUCUAUGGCUCGCGGCUCAUCGGGCAAGUCAGUCAAAGUCCAUACUUUGUUUUCAUACAUGGAUUCUUUCUCGGAUUUCAUGGCUUCUAGCCAUUUGUCGGAAUCCGGGCCCGCCAUCGCUUCUUCAUAGUUCGAAGGUUCACCGUUGUCUAACAACAUGAUUUCCAGGACAGGGUUGCCGUACCACUCUGGUGCGGAACGUGUCCUUGUGGACCUAUGAAGUUCAGUAACUUGAUCCGAAGCUUCAUGAUCAUCAUCAUUAACUUCCUCCCCAGUCGGUGUAGGCACCACAGGAACAUUUUCCCGCGCUGCGCUACUUUCCGGUUCGGAAGGGGUGACUAUCACCUCAUCAAGUUCCACUUUCCUCCCACUCAAUUCUUUCGAGAGAAACUCCUUCUCCAGAAAGGACCCGUUCUUGGCAACGAAGAUCUUGCCUUCGGAUCUGAGGUGGAAGGUAUACCCAAUAGUUUCCUUAGGGUAUCCUAUGAAGACGCAUUUUUCCGACUUGGGUUCGAGCUUUUCAGGUUGAAGUUUCUUCACAUAAGCAUCACAUCCCCAAACUUUUAGAAACGACAGCUUAGGUUUCUUCCCAAACCAUAAUUCAUACGGUGUCGUCUCAACGGAUUUUGACGGAGCCCUAUUUAAAGUGAAUGCGGCAGUCUCUAAAGCAUAGCCCCAAAAUGAGAGCGGUAAAUUGGUAAGAGACAUCAUAGAUCGCACCAUAUCCAAUAGAGUGCGAUUACGACGUUCGGACACACCAUUUCUCUGAGGUGUUCCAGGCGGCGUGAGUUGUGAAACUAUUCCACAUUUCCUUAAGUGUGCACCAAACUCGUGACUUAAAUAUUCUCCACCAUGAUCUGAUCGUAAGAAUUUUAUUCUCCUGUCACGUUGAUUCUCAACCUCACUCUGAAAUUCCUUGAACUUUUCAAAGGUUUCCGACUUGUGUUUCAUUAGGUAGAUAUACCCAUAUCUACUUAAAUCAUCAGUGAGAGUGAGAACAUAACGAUAUCCUCCGCGAGCCUCAACACUCAUUGGACCACACACAUCGGUAUGUAUGAUUUCCAAUAAGUUGGUUGCUCGCUCCAUUGUUCCGGAGAACGGAGUCUUGGUCAUCUUACCCAUGAGGCAUGGUUCGCACGUGUCAAAUGAUUCGUAAUCAAGAGACUCCAAAAGUCCAUCUGCAUGGAGCUUCUUCAUGCGCUUGACACCAAUGUGACCAAGGCGGUAGUGCCACAAGUAUGUGGGACUAUCGUUAUCAACUUUACAUCUUUUGGUAUUCACACUAUGAACAUGUGUAACAUCACGUUCGAGAUUCAUCAAAAAUAAACCAUUGACCAGCGGGGCAUGACCAUAAAACAUAUCUCUCAAAUAAAUAGAACAACCAUUAUUCUCGGAUUUAAAUGAGUAGCCAUCUCGAAUUAAACGAGAUCCUGAUACAAUGUUCAUGCUCAAAGCUGGCACUAAAUAACAAUUAUUGAGGUUUAAAACUAAUCCCGUGGGUAGAUGCAGAGGUAGCGUGCCGACGGCGAUCACAUCGACCUUGGAACCAUUCCCGACGCGCAUCGUCACCUCGUCCUUCGCCAGUCUCCGUUUAUUCCGUAGUUCCUGUUUUGAGUUACAAAUAUGAGCAACCGCACCGGUAUCAAAUACCCAGGAGCUACUACGAGUACUGGUAAGGUACACAUCAAUAACUUGUAUAUCACAUAUACCUUUGGUGUUGCCGGCCUUCUUCUUGUCCGCUAAGUAUUUGGGGCAGUUCCGCUUCCAGUGACCACUUCCCUUGCAAUAAAAGCACUCAGUCUCGGGCUUGGGUCCAUUCUUUGACUUCUUCCCAGUAACUGGUUUACCGGGCGCGGCAACUCCCUUGCCGUCCUUCUUGAAGUUCUUCUUACCCUUGCUCUUCUUGAACUUAGUGGUUUUAUUCACCAUCAACACUUGAUGUUCUUUUCUGAUCUCUACCUCAGCUGAUUUCAGCAUUGAAUAUACCUCAGGAAUGGUCUUUUCCAUCCCCUGCAUAUUGUAGUUCAUCACAAAGCUCUUGAAGCUUGGUGGAAGCGACUGAAGGAUUCUGUCAAUGACCGCGUCAUCCGGGAGAUUGACUCCCAGCUGAGACAAGCGGUUAUGCAACCCAGACAUUCUGAGUAUGUGCUCACUAACAGAACUGUUCUCCUCCAUUUUACAGCUGAAGAAUUUGUCGAAGACAUCAUAUCUCUCGACCCGGGCAUGAGCUUGGAAAACCAAUUUCAGCUCCUCGAACAUCUCAUAUGCUCCAUGUUUCUCAAAACGCUUUUGGAGACCCGGUUCUAGGCUGUAAAGCAUGCCGCACUGAACGAGGGAGUAAUCAUCAGCACGCUGCUGCCAAGCGUUCAUAACGUCUUGGUUCUCAGGGAUUGGUGCAUCACCUAGCGGUACUUCUAAGACAUAAUCUUUCUUGGCUACUAUGAGGAUGAGCCUCAGGUUCCGGACCCAGUCCGUAUAGUUGCUGCCAUCAUCUUUCAGCUUGGUUUUCUCUAGGAACGCGUUGAAAUUGAGGACAACGUUGGCCAUUUGAUCUACAAGACAUAGUGUAAAGAUUUUAGACUAAGUUCAUGAUAAUUGAGUUCAUCUAAUCAAAUUAUUUAAUGAACUCCCACUCAGAUAGACAUCCCUCUCGUCAUCUAAGUGAAACAUGAUCCGAGUUUAACUAGGCCGUGUCCGAUCAUCACGUGAGACGGACUAGUCAAGAUCGGUGAACAUCUCCAUGUUGAUCGUAUCUUCUAUACGACUCAUGCUCGACCUUUCGGUCCUCCGUGUUCCGAGGCCAUGUCUGUACAUGCUAGGCUCGUCAAGACAACCUAAGUGUAUUGCGUGUGUUCCGAGGCCAUGCCUGUACAUGCUAGGCUCGUCAACACCCGUUGUAUUCGAACGUUAGAAUCUAUCACACCCGAUCAUCACGUGGUGCUUCGAAACAACGAACCUUCGCAACGGUGCACAGUUAGGGUGAACACUUUCUUGAAAUUAUUAUAAGGGAUCAUCUUACUUACUACCGUCGUUCUAAGCAAAUAAGAUGCAAAAACAUGAUAAACAUCACAUGCAAUCAAAUAGUGACAUGAUAUGGCCAAUAUCAUUAUGCUCCUUUGAUCUCCAUCUUCGGGGCACCAUGAUCAUCUUCGUCACCGGCAUGACACCAUGAUCUCCAUCAUCAUGAUCUCCAUCAUUGUGUCUUCAUGAAGUCGUCACGCCAACGAUUACUUCUACUUCUAUGGCUAACGCGUUUAGCAACAAAGUAAAGUAAUUUACAUGGCGUUAUUCAAUGACACGCAGGUCAUGCAAAAUAAUAAAGACAACUCCUAUGGCUCCUGCCGGUUGUCAUACUCAUCGACAUGCAAGUCGUGAUCCCUAUUACAAGAAUAUGAUCAAUCUCAUACAUCACAUAUAUCAUUCAUCACAUCUUCUGGCCAUAUCACAUCACAUAGCACUUGCUGCAAAAACAAGUUAGACGUCCUCUAAUUGUUGUUGCAAGUUUUUACGUGGUUCGUAGGUUUCUAGCAAGAACGUUUUCUUACCUACAUAUGACCACAACGUGAUUUGCCAAUUUCUAUUUACCCUUCAUAAGGACCCUUUUCAUCGAAUCCGUUCCGACUAAAGUAGGAGAGACAGACACCCGCUAGCCACCUUAUGCAACUAGUGCAUGUCAAUCGGUGGAACCUGUCUCACGUAAGCGUACGUGUAAGGUCGGUCCGGGCCGCUUCAUCCUACAAUGCCGCCCAAACAAGAAAUGACUAGUAGCGGCAAGAAGAAUUGGCAAACUCAACGCCCACAACUGCUUUGUGUUCUACUCGUGCAUAGUAACUACGCAUAGGCCUGGCUCUGAUACCACUGUUUGGGAAUCGUAGCAUAAUUUUAAAAUUUUCCUACACUCACCAAGAUGCAUCUAUGGAGUAUACUAGCAACGAGGGGAAGGGAGUGCAUCUACAUACCCUUGUAGAUCGCGAGCGGAAGCGUUCCAAUGAACAUGGAUGACGGAGUCGUACUCGCCGUGAUCCAAAUCACCGAUGACCGAGUGCCGAACGGACAGCACCUCCGCGUUCAACACACGUACGGUGCAGCGACGUCUCCUCCUUCUUGAUCCAGCAAGGGGGAAGGAGAGGUUGAUGGAGAUCCAACAACACGACGGCGUGGUGGUGGAUGUAGCGGGUCUCCGGCAGGGCUUCGUCGAGCUUCUGCGAGAGAGAGAGAGGUGUUGCAGGGGAGGAGGGAGGCGCCCAAGGCUGUAGGUUGCUGCCCUCCCUCCCCCCUUUAUAUAGGCCCCCUGGGGGGGGCACCGGCCCUAGAGAUGGGAUCUCAUGGGGGGGCGGCGGCCAAAAGGGGGGGAAGGGGUUGCCUUGCCCCCCAAGGCAAGGGGGAAGCCCCCCACCCUAGGGUUCCCAACCCUAGGCGCAUGGGGGGAGGCCCAAGGGGGGCGCCCCAGCCCACUAAGGGCUGGUUCCCUUCCACUUUCAGCCCACGGGGCCCUCCGGGAUAGGUGGCCCCACCCGGUGGACCCCCGGGACCCUUCCGGUGGUCCCGGUACAAUACCGGUAACCCCCGAAACUUUCCCGGUGGCCGAAACUUGACUUCCUAUAUAUAAUUCUUCACCUCCGGACCAUUCCGGAACCUCUCAUGACGUCCGGGAUCUCAUCCGGGACUCCGAACAACUUUCGGGUUUCCGCAUACACAUAUCUCUACAACCCAUGCGUCAUCGAACCUUAAGUGUGUAGACCCUACGGGUUCGGGAGACAUGCAGACAUGACCGAGACUUCUCUCCGGUCAAUAACCAAUAGCGGGAUCUGGAUAGCCAUGUUGGCUCCCACAUGUUCCACGAUGAUCUCUUCGGAUGAACCACGGUGUCGAGGAUUCAAUCAAUCCCGUAUACAAUUCCCUUUGUCAAUCGGUAUGUUACUUGCCCGAGAUUCGAUCGUCGGUAUCCCAAUACCUUGUUCAAUCUCGUUACCGGCAAGUCUCUUUACUCAUACCGCAAUGCAUGAUCCCAUAACUAACGCCUUAGUCACAUAGAGCUCAUUAUGAUGAUGCAUUACCGAGUGGGCCCAGAGAUACCUCUCCGUCACACGGAGUGACAAAUCCCAGUCUCGAUCCGUGCCAACCCAACAGACACUUUCGGAGAUACCCGUAGUGCACCUUUAUAGUCACCCAGUUACGUUGUGACGUUUGGCACACCCAAAGCACUCCUACGGUAUCCGGGAGUUGCACGAUCUCAUGGUCUAAGGAAAAGAUACUUGACAUUGGAAAAGCUCUAGCAAACGAAACGACACGAUCUUUUAUGCUAUGCUUAUGAUUGGGUCUUGUCCAUCACAUCAUUCUCCUAAUGAUGUGAUCCCCUUAUCAAUGACAUCCAAUGUCCAUAGUCAGGAAACCAUGACUAUCUGUUGAUCAACGAGCUAGUCAACUAGAGGCUUACUAGGGACACGUUGUGGUCUAUGCAUUCACACAUGUAUUACGAUUUCCGGACAAUACAAUUAUAGCAUGAACAAUAGACAAUUAUCAUGAACGAAGAAAUAUAAUAAUAACCAUUUAUUAUUGCCUCUAGGGCAUAUUUUCAACAAUGGGCCCCCUGGAGCUCCACCGACCUCAACUCCAACUCCAUAUAUUCGUGUUCGGGGAGAAAAAAAAUCAGGGAGAAGGAUUCAUCGCAUUUUACGAUAGGGAGCCGCCACCAAGCCCUAAAACCUCUCGGGAGGGCUGAUCUGGAGUCCGUUCGGGGCUCCGGAGAGGGGAAACCGUCGCCAUCGUCAUCAUCAACUAUCCUCCAUCACCAAUUUCAUGACGCUCACCGCCGUGCGUGAGUAAUUCCAUCGUACGCUUGCUGGAUGGUGAUGGGUUGGAUGAGAGUUAUCAUGUAAUCGAAUUAGUUUUGUUAGGGUUUGAUCCCUAGUAUCCACUAUGUUCUGAGAUUGAUGUUGCUAUGACUUUACUAUGCUUAAUGCUUGUCACUAGGGCCCGAGUGCCAUGAUUUUAGAUCUGAACCUAUUAUGUUUUCAUGAAUAUAUGUGAGUUCUUGAUCCUAUCUUGCAAGUCUAUAGUCACCUACUAUGUGUUAUGAUCCGGCAACCCCGAAGUGACAAUAAUCGGGACCACUCCCGGUGAUGACCAUAGUUUGAGGAGUUCAUGUAUUCACUAUGUGUUAAUGCUUUGGUCUGGUACUCUAUUAAAAGGAGGCCUUAAUAUCCCUUAGUUUCCAUUAGGACCCCGCUGCCACGGGAGGGUAGGACAAAAGAUGUAAUGCAAGUUCUUUUUCAUAAGCACGUAUGACUAUAUUUGGAAUACAUGCCAACAUUACAUUGAUGAAUUGGAGCUAGUUCUAUGUCACCCUAUAUUAUGACUGUUACAUGAUGAACCGCAUCCGGCAUAAUUUUCCAUCACCAAUCCAAUGCCUACGAGCUUUUCACAUAUUGUUCUUCGCUUAUUUACUUUUCCGUUACUACUAUUACAUUCACUACAAAACCCAGAAAUAUUACUUUUGCUACCGUUACCGUUACUUCCAUACUACUUUGCUACUAAACACUUUGCUGCAGUACUAAGUUAUCCAGGUGUGGUUGAAUUGACAACUCAACUCCUAAUACUUGAGAAUAUUCUUUGGCUCCCCUUGUGUCGAAUCAAUAAAUUUGGGUUGAAUACUCUACCCUCGAAAACUGUUGUGAUCCCCUAUACUUGUGGGUUAUCAAGAGAGAGAUCAAACACAUAGCUACUGGUGCAUACCCCUCAUGCCCGAUAGAAAAUUAGGUUGUAUGAAUCAUUUGUAGAUUAUUCAUUAACGACCUUGGACCAUACAAACUGGCCAAAUUUCGUCGCUAUAUAAUUUGUUAUAUGUUGUUGUUAAAAAUCAAUAAUAAAAUUGUAUAUAUUGAACUGACUUAGGAUCUUUUUGUAUAAUUUAUGUCACUAUGCAUGCUGGCAAGAAACCUACAAAUAUUAUAAAGUUGGCUAAUAUAAGUAAAGUCUCACAUAUAUAGAAAAAUAAAUCACUCUUAGUUCUUUUUGGGAUUAUUAUAUGUUGUACUAUUAUUGUAUGAACAAAUAAAGGACAAAAAAUAGAUUGUUUAGUUGUAUUAAUUAUUAAAAACUCGAAAGCAUGGAAGAUUGCUCCCUUUGAUCACUUGGGGUUUAGCUAUAGCUACCUCAUCCUAACCCAUGCCGUGUCUAGAUCAUUGUACCAACUUGUGCUUUUUAGAACAUUUUUAUGCAAAAUGGAAGUGCUGCUUUUCCAGAACAUUUUGAUAUCUUAUUUACAUUUUUCUGAAUUCAUAUGAAUUUGCAAUGAAUUUUCAAAGUGAUGUUCAAAUGCUCAAAGGGCAUUCGGGAGACCUAAAAUUCUUUUUAGAGGCAAAACUGAGCAGAGUCGAAAACUAGGGGCAAAACUAAAGGAUUGGAACCAACUAAGGGAAAUAAAGGAAUUGUCCCGCCAAUGGUUUUCUAAGUCUCGAUCUGGUCGGAGAUUAAACCAAGAUCGAGUAUCCAUAUUUAAGUGGCCUUAUUGACAUGGAUUUUUUUUGCUUGCAGCUUUAUUAUCCAUUCUCACAUGCUUGUCUCAAAAUUACGAAACCUUAAACAAAUAUAUCAAAGUUAUUAAUUAUGUAAGUAGUGUAACUUUAUCAGGUGUAGGGAAAAAUUAGUUCCUAAUCAGAGCUCAUAGAUUAAGCAAAAAAUUUGUAUGCCAUGCUAAUACGAUAAUUCAAAUGAUGCACGAAAAAAUACACGCAUGGAUAUUAGUUUAAAUAAAUACAAACGUGCUAUUUCCAUGCAAUAAAUACAUGCUACUACAAAUGCAUCGUGAGACCGUGGGCCAUGAUUUUCUUUACAAGGACAAAGACAAUAUGGAUUUGACAAUCAUAUGGAUCUGCAAUCACAAAUUAGUUAUGAUGCAGGCUCAAGUAUAAUAAAAAUACUCAUUGUGAACAAUGAAAAAAACAAAAAGAUAAUAUCCAAAACAUCUUAUAAUGAAAUGUACCUAAGGGUUAGAUGACAACUCACUCUUAUGAGACGUUGUGUUUGGAGAUCAAUCAUACACUAUACCAACACAAUUGCAUGUUUAGUGAUUAGCCAGUAGAAAGGUAAGUUUGUAGAACUAUAUACAUAACCUAUAUGUCCAUUUAUAGUAUUAGCCAACAGAAAGAAGUCAUGAAUUUCCCUUUAUAUUCUUUAGUGAUAUGUACAUGACAAUAACUGUCUCACAUGAAAACCAUAGGGCCAUACAAUGCAUCCUUGUUUGACUACGAUGGUAACGGAUAAUAGAUACUACAAUUAUUGCGAAAGUUUUGUAUAUCCCAUAACGGAAGAUCUGACACCUCAUAACAACCCAUCCAUCUCAUUCACGGGCCAGAUGACGUCACUGGUUGAUAUCGACGCCCCUAUGGCAAUUAUCGUUGCCUCAACAUGCAAGUGCCUUCUUCCAUGGUACGAUUUCAUUGUUAGAAUCUCUAACCUUGACGAGGCAUACAUUUUCGUAGUUGAACACCUCGUGCACUCUCCAAGCCAUGGUGAACAACCAACUAAAGGAGGUUGCAGCGGGUACUAUCAACAGAAAUUGAUGCAUAACAUUGUGUUGCCAACAUACCUAACUAGGGUGGAAGUGGGUAUGGUAUUUCCUAGUUGCAAAGAGGUGGACCAUAAUGAAAAACCUCAAGGCGCAGAUGACGAAACACACUAUACCCUCAUCGAGUGCCCGAGUUGGACCCUUAGGUGGCCUAAGUGACGAAUACAUUUGGGGACGCACUCCCCCAGCUAGCAAACACGCUCACCGCUGACACUUUAUACGAAUGUCCCUACACUGGGACCAUCUACUUUGGGUCCUCGCCGAGCUGAAGGUCCUUAGGACAUAGUGGUGGCUAAUGAUGAGCGCGCUGACAAAGAUGAGCCGCCACCCGACACAGUACGAGCAUGGGGAGGAGGAUGUUAAUAUGUAUUUUAACAAUGAAUAUGAUGAUGGCAUGACUUUUGCGGUUAACCAUAAUGUUGUUGAGAGUUUGCUUAAUAUGCCGCUAGUGGACGACACUCAGAAUGAUCAAUGUCCCUCAAAGCGAAUGUCAUGACUCCGAUCACAAUGAAUGGGUCAAUUUGAGACACUCUGGGAGCCCCCAGUUAUUGUUGUACCCAGAAGUGGGAGGAAGAAGAGACAUAAAAAUUUUGAUUACACAAGGCACGGGCAUUGCUGGCAGAGAGAAAUUGGUUUGAAAGUAGAUUGAGGAUCAUCCUUCUAUGUUCGAGGGGCUCAUUUUCCGGUGAACCCAUGGUACCCAGUAAUAUACACGAUCCAUGUUAUUCGACAUGAGGUUUCUUCAAGAUGACAUUCUCAACAAAGAGAGGGUGGACAAGGUCAUGUUUCUUAGCCAACCUAAAAAUCGCUCGAUUUACAUGGUGAAGGUUCCAUCCGGUGUCGGCUUCCUCGAAGAUUUGCCCGCAGACAAAUUCUAUAUUGAUUUCGGGUUACCAUGCCUUUUGUGUAGUAUCUACUUAAGUUUUAAAGAUGCAUGAUGAAAAUGACCUACUAUGUUUACUUGAUUAACCUUAGUAGUCAUUGACGUAUCGAAACAUGACAAUUCUGGCACGGCAACAACAUGAGAGCUUCUUCUCAUAAAUGCUACCAUGGCAGCAAAAAGAUUAACUAAAAAUGCAACCAUGCUAGCUUAUAUUAGCCCCAAGGCUGGAAAAUUCUACCAUGACAACUAAAUGAGCAAUUUGACUCAUAAAUGCUGCCAUGGUAGAGAAAUGAUCCUAUUUGACAAUAAUUGACCCCAUGGUAGCAAAUAUGAGGCCAAAGGCUCAAAAGUUUUUCCAUGAUAACUAAAAGAGCCAUUUAGCCUAGAAUCGUUGCGAUGGCAGGUAAAUGAGCCAUUUCGCUCAGACUUGCUACCAUGGAGUUAAAUGAGCCAUUUGGCUCCGACUUGCUGCCAUGUCAGCAAAAAAUGAAUGCAAAACUACCAUCACAACAAACAGCCCCAAGGUUAAAAAAUUCUGCCAGGCCUAGGUUUGCUAUGUGCUAAUCUUGCAAUUUGUUGCCAUGUGCUAUGUUUGGUAUCUAAAUUGCUAUAAAAGACGUUUUUGCUAUGUAUACAUGUUGAAAUAUAUUUGAUAUGAUGUAUGUUGCUAUUUGUUCUGUUCAUUACGACACGUCAAAGAUUCAUCGAUCAAAACUUCAACAGUUCUGAGGCGCCGCAGUGAAGCUAGACAACAAUGCGUGUGUUUUACAAAUUCAGCAUGUGAAAUGAAUGCAUGUAACUCAACGCUAUCAAUGUGUAUUAUGUAAAUUAAAGGUGUAUGCUGCAAUUUGGAUAUUUGAAUUUGUGUAAAAUGUGAUACAUAAAAUUAUCUAUUUAAUGCAUAACUUUUCUAUUGAUAUAUGAAUUAAAUGUGCAAACGCUACCACGGCAACAAAUACACCGUCGUGUCAUUUCUUUUCGCCCAAAACAAAGUACUAGUGGUGCGCGAAAAUACAAGCACAUCACCAAUACCCCAAAAUACUAGCGGUAUGCCAUUAGUAUUCUACAAUACUGUCAUGUGAAAGGCCCAGGCACGACACUGCAUGCAACUAGUAAGUUACUCGCUUGUCGCUAGUAAUCACUUACCAACGACACCAUACUAGUGGUGUGCUAGCCGAACACCGCUAGUAGGCACAUGCACAAGCUGCUAAUAAGGCGGCCAUGUAUGUUGGCGGUGGGAGCCACGAUGCUCAUGGGCGAAUCCAUCAACCCACCUCCAACGCCGAUACUCCACCGCGCCAUGCCGCUGAGACCCACCGUUUUUGAUGCAGUAGAUGCAACACCGCUCCACCUCUUGGCCCCUCCAGUCAGUACCUACUCCAAAAUAGUGCCCCCAGGAGAGAGAAUGACACAAGUCUUUGUCAUGAUCCGAUCAGGAAGACCCAGAUCUAGGGUUUCCCCCGGAGCAGAUGCCUCCUGGAGGAAGAAAGGCAUGCCAUCUGCAGGUUCCAACGAACCCAAAUGGUGCCCACCCACACAAUGAGUCAUUUUCUUGGAGUUGUGUUGUUGUUCUUCAGCAUCCUUGUAUAAUGCCUUGUGCGCGUGUGUUGCGGUAUUGUGUUGUAUUGUGUUGUAUGUGCUGAAUUGUAUUAUUUAUAUAUAAAAUGGAGUGGGAGUCUUUUUGAUAAACAAUAAGAUCAAUUGCCUCACUUGAAACUUGAAAGUGCAUUUUUUUAUUUUGACAACGGAAGUCAGGGCCAAUGCCGACCUCAUGCGCAGGAAAAGGGACAGGCACACGUACAUCCCAUCUGUGGCCAAGCUUUUUUGUUCUUUUGCACUAGUAGAAAAAGGCCCAUUAGUCCCUGUUCUAGAGGGCCUUUAGUCCCAGUUCUGGAACCGGGACUAAAUAAGGGUCGGUACUAAAGGCCCCCUCCCUUUAGUCCCGGUUCUUAUACGAACUGGAACUAAAGGCCCUCCACGUGGCCGCUGUCUGGAGCUCCACCUUUAGUCCCGGUUGGUAACACACCAACCGGGACUAAAGGAAAUUUUACGAAUUUAUUUUUUGAAUUUUUUAAAAAAAAUCCCAAUUUUCAAAUUUGUGUAUUAUUUUACAAUUUAAUCUCUAAUCACCCCUCAUCACUGCUCAAUUUAACAUCUAAUCUCUAAUCAGCCCUCGUCAUUCCAAAUCAUCUAACUUCCCGGCCGGUCACCCAUCCUUUCACAACUCCAGUCUGAGCACGCUUAACUUCCGAGUUCUAUUCCCCCUCUUUCCAAGUCUGCACUUGUUGUUUUUCUGACAAUAGUAAGAUGUCAAUCCUAUUAACCCUUAAGAGUUUAGCUUGAGCAUGAAGUCACACGUUUCAUUGUUUGAGUUUGAAACUAUUAUUUUAAAAACAGUAAUUAUUUAGUAACACUAAUACUGCUUGAAUAAGUAGUUUGACCAUUGUUUGACCAUAGUUUGACCAGAUUUGACCAAAAUUCAAAAAACCUGAAAUGAUUAUUUAGUAACACUAAUAUUCUUGAAUAAUUAUUUAGUAACACUAAUACAUCAUGAAUAAGUAGUUUGACCAUUGUUUGACCACAGUUUGGCCAGAUUUAACCAAAAUUCAAAAAAUGAAAUUUGAUCAUAUCUUUUUUUUCCUUUAAGAAUCUGAGGAUUCUAAAAAUUUGCAAAUAGGCCUACGGCGGUCAAAAUCGGAUGCGGAUUUUUGUGCUGAACAUUUUGAUAUAUUAUACUUUUUUCCGACAUCGUAUGCAAAAGUUAUAGCCGUUUUACUUUUUCCCAACACUUUUUGCAAAACAUAUCCAAAUUUAAGUUUUUAAAUUUUCCUAACUAGUAGAUGUAGUAAUAUAACUACAUCUCGAAGGAUUUUAUUGUUUUAAGUUUUUAUCAUUUUCUUCUGUUUUUUCCAAAACUGNNNNNNNNNNNNNNNNNNNNNNNNNNNNNNNNNNNNNNNNNNNNNNNNNNNNNNNNNNNNNNNNNNNNNNNNNNNNNNNNNNNNNNNNNNNNNNNNNNNNNNNNNNNNNNNNNNNNNNNNNNNNNNNNNNNNNNNNNNNNNNNNNNNNNNNNNNNNNNNNNNNNNNNNNNNNNNNNNNNNNNNNNNNNNNNNNNNNNNNNNNNNNNNNNNNNNNNNNNNNNNNNNNNNNNNNNNNNNNNNNNNNNNNNNNNNNNNNNNNNNNNNNNNNNNNNNNNNNNNNNNNNNNNNNNNNNNNNNNNNNNNNNNNNNNNNNNNNNNNNNNNNNNNNNNNNNNNNNNNNNNNNNNNNNNNNNNNNNNNNNNNNNNNNNNNNNNNNNNNNNNNNNNNNNNNNNNNNNNNNNNNNNNNNNNNNNNNNNNNNNNNNNNNNNNNNNNNNNNNNNNNNNNNNNNNNNNNNNNNNNNNNNNNNNNNNNNNNNNNNNNNNNNNNNNNNNNNNNNNNNNNNNNNNNNNNNNNNNNNNNNNNNNNNNNNNNGCGCCUCUGUCGCCAUGGCAUCCAGCAGUGGUCAUCCAUCACCGUACAUAGGUCACGCGUUUGUAGCAUAACCUGAGUCUCCGUAGUUUGUCCGGCUCAACAUAUCGGCCAUAGUGUUGAUCCCCAGAUUCGCGCACAACAUGUUGCAUGAUUGGUUCACGGAGGUUUACCUCCUUGCCAUUGGAGAUCGUUGCAUGUGGCGCACCUUUCUUCGGACAGUCCGACAUCUUCACAUGGCCAAGAGCACGUGGGAUACUAAUUGUUUGUCAGCGACAAAAGUGUACUCACGCAAUUAGCUGGACACAUCAGAGGUUUUACACACUAGCAAACACAAAGCACACAUGGAAUUUGAUGCCAUGAAAACGUGCUACAGAUUUUUAUUUGGAAUACAGAGAGAAAGAAGGGUCGUUGCACGACCGACCUAAACACACACCACGUUCCUAAUGACUCGUGCCAUCCCACGGAUCAGAUCGUGAGUGCAUGAUCUACGGCUCCACUAUUAUCACGUGUGAUCCGAUGUGCCAUGCCAUCGCAUGACUCGGUUCACGACGCGGUAGAAACGGGAGCGACCCCAACCUGAUACGUGGACUCGACGCAAACAUGCUUGCUGUCGAGACCAACUCUCAGCGCACACCGUGUGCUUGCAGGCAGCUCUAUGGCGCGUUAUUUGGAACAAACAGAUUGUAGGGAAAAAAAACCCUAGGGCAUGGAUCAGACCUCGAUCCACAAAAACCCACAUCGUGAAGUUGUCUUAGUGGAUCUCGUCAUUCUCCGAGUCAAUCUCGUCAUUCUCCGAGUCGGAUAAGUGGUUGUCCACCUGCACGUGCCUAGCCUGCCAUACCGUCAACCACAAACACCGCAUCCAGAUUCCGUUACAUUCAAUCAUCACCCAGGCGGAAAAAACUGAAAACCUUGGAAUUAAAAGUAGAUCGAGUUCAUACCCUCCUCAUCUGGGCACGGCGGUACUUGAACCAGAGUUUGAUAUGCUGGGGCUCCACAUGAAGCUAGCGACCGAGAUGAGCGCGCUGGGUCUCAUCAGGGCUGGAGCACUCCUUGAAAACACUGUACUUUUCAGAAAAAAGAAGAUGAAAAAACCUUGAAUACCGUGCACAUGGAUCACCAUGAAAAUAUGACACGAAAAAUAAGGUGUAGGAAUGGUGCUUGAUCAACCUCUCCAGGAUCUGAAUCUGGUUGUCAGUUAGAUCCAUUGUUACCAAUUUCUCGCUCACUCUCCCAGGCUGGCUAGAGGAAGAGGAAUUGGAGGCAGGAAGGUAUCUUCGUACUGGAUGCUGUGCGACCUCUGCCUUGCUCCUAUUUAUACACGAGAGUGUGGCGUUUCUCCUCUGUCACACUGCUGGCGCAAAGAAGCGCCAGUCUGUGUGACCUCUGGCUUAGUAGCAGGCUCCUAGACUGUCUCUCUUAAUGGCUCCUCCUUUUUGGCUUCUUCCACCCUAUAUUGCUGACCGUCCGUCCCUGUAUUGCUCAUGAUCUAAACACUCUUGUAUUACUUUGCAGAGGGAGUAACAAGCAGUGCUUUCAGAUUUAAACCAUGUAAUAUAUAGUUUCAUUUAGCAGAAUUUGCAAAGCACUUCAAAUCAAACAACUUCAGAGUUUAUGGACCUGCAUCGGUACGAGCCCUACUGGGUUUGGAUGCAACAAACAAAUGCAGAGUGACCUGAAAAUGGCCGGUGACCUGUCUUGAGUUCGUAAUUUCUCCCCUCCCACAAUUACCAUUGUUCCUCUUGUAGAAAGGGAGAUAAUUGAUCCUGAAGUUACGUCCAUGUAUUGGUUGUUAACCAUUAUAAUAAAUUCUGCAAUAUUUUAGCAUGAAAUUGACAGGUAGGCAUUAAUUUCCAGCCUCUUACUUAUGUAUGGAUAUCAAAUUAAUCAAUAGUACAGGUGGGCCAUUAUGCUCUAAAUCAUAAUAUUCAAAUUCUAAGUAAGAAAAGUAGCAUAACAGUACCUGCGAGCCAAGAGCACCAAUCGGCCUAGCAGACCCAUAGCGCAUACCGCAGACGCUCGCUCUAGGAUCCUGCGCUGCCAUCUACCGCCGUCCCAUAUUCAAGAGGGAUCCUUGCACUAACCUUGCCAGGCCCAACUGCCGUUGACACCGCCACGACACCAGACAAUGCCACCAGUCUGCGUGCAUCCAUCAACCCACCUCCAACGGCGAUACUCCACCACACCAUGCUGCCGAGACCCACCGUUUUUGAUGCAGUAGAUGCAACACCGCUCCACCUCUUGGCCCCUCCAAUCAGUACCUACUCCUAAAUAGUGCCCCCAGGAGAGAGAAUGACACAAGUCUCCAUUAUCAUCUGAUCUGGGAGACCCAGAUCAUGGGUUUCCACGGAGCAGAUGCCUCAUGGAGGAAGAAGGGCAAGCCAUCUGGAGUUGCCACCGAACCCAAACAGUGCCCACCCGCCUAACGAGCCAUUUUCUUGGAGUUGUGUUGUUGUUCUUCAACAUCUUUAUACAGUGCCUUGUGUGCGUGUGUUGCGGUAUGGUGUCGUGUUGUGUUGUCUGUGCUGAAUUGUCUGAUUUGUAUAUAAAGUGGAGUAGAAGUCUUAUUGAUAAACACUGAGAUCAAUUACCCAGUUGAAACUUGAAAGUGCAUUUUUUGAUUUUGACAGCGGAAGUCAGGGCCAAGGCCGACCUCAUGCGCAGGAAAAGGGGCAAGCACACGUACAUCCCACAUGUACCCAAGCUUUUUUCUUCUUUUGGUUGCUUGUUGUUUGCUUGCGCUUAAUCCUACGAGAUUAUCAAUUGAUUAAUAAAUUUGCUUGAAUAAUGCAUUAUCAUCUGAUUUCUUGCUUAGAUCGAUGUGCUCUCUAUUUUCAAACAGUUUUGGUCUGGGCCUAUUUUGCUCAAUUGGAUAAUUUAUGUGGACAAAUUUAUCGAAUCAAAAUAAAUCAGUUUAUUUUUCUUCUGUUUCCGUUUUUCUAGGAACCUAUUUGUUGGCGUUCGAUGGGACAUAUGUUUUCAGAAACCUAACCAAUUAAUUUACCAAAUGCUAACCUUUACUUAAUCAUGUCCCAACCAUUCCNNNNNNNNNNNNNNNNNNNNNNNNNNNNNNNNNNNNNNNNNNNNNNNNNNNNNNNNNNNNNNNNNNNNNNNNNNNNNNNNNNNNNNNNNNNNNNNNNNNNNNNNNNNNNNNNNNNNNNNNNNNNNNNNNNNNNNNNNNNNNNNNNNNNNNNNNNNNNNNNNNNNNNNNNNNNNNNNNNNNNNNNNNNNNNNNNNNNNNNNNNNNNNNNNNNNNNNNNNNNNNNNNNNNNNNNNNNNNNNNNNNNNNNNNNNNNNNNNNNNNNNNNNNNNNNNNNNNNNNNNNNNNNNNNNNNNNNNNNNNNNNNNNNNNNNNNNNNNNNNNNNNNNNNNNNNNNNNNNNNNNNNNNNNNNNNNNNNNNNNNNNNNNNNNNNNNNNNNNNNNCAGCGAUGGUCAUGCAGACGGCCAUCGUCUUACAGAGGUCACACGCUUGUUGCCUAACCAAAGUCGUCGUAGUUCGUUCGGGUCAACAUAUCGGCCAUUGUGUUGAUCCCCAAACUCGUGCACAACAUACUACAUGAUUGGUUCACCGCGGUUGACCUCCUUGCCAUUGGAGAUCGUUCCAUGCCACGCACCUUUCUUCGGACUGUCUGGCAUCUUCACAUGGCCAGGAGCACAUGGAUAUAAUACUGAAUGUUUUGUCAGUGACCCAAGAUUACUCACGCAACUAGCUGGACACAUCAGAGGUUAUACAGACUAGCAAACCCAGAGCACACAUGGAAUUUGAUGCCAUGAAUACUUGCUACAGAUUUUUUUUUGGAAUACAGAGAGAAAGAACGGUCGUUGCACGACCGACCUAAACACAAACAACCUUCCUAAUGACUCGUGCCAUCCCACGAAUCAGAUCCUGGGUCCAGGAUCUACAGCUCCACUAUUAUCGCCUGUGAUCCGAUGUGCCAUGCCAUCCCAUGACUCGGUUCACGACGCGGUAGAAACGGGAGCGACCCCAACCUGACACAUGGACUCGAUGCAUGGACUCGACGCAAACAUGCUUGCCGUCGAGACCGACUCUCAGUGCGUACCAUCUGCUCGCAGGCAGGUCUAUGACACGUUAUUUGGAACAAACAGACUGAAGGGAAAAAACCUAGGGCAUUCACUUAGUUUACAUCAAUGGAUCAGCCCUCAAUCCACAAACCCACAUGGCGAAGUUGACUUAGUGAAUCUCGUCAUUCUCUGAGUCGGAUAAGUGGUUGUCAACCUGCUCGUCCCAAGCCUGCCAUGCCGUCAACCCCAAACACUACAUCGAGAUCCAUUACAUUACAUCAUGACCAGGUGGAAAAAACUGAAAUCUUGGAAAAAUUGAAAGGAGAUCGAGUUCAUACCCUCCUCAUCUGGGCACGGCGGUUCUUGAACCAUAAUUUGAUCUGCUGGGGCUGCACGCCAAGUUCGCGGCCGUGAUGGGCGCGCUGGGUCUCAUCAGGGUUGGGGCACACCUUGAAAGUCCUGCAGUUUUCAAAAAACGAAAAAGAAAACCUUGAAUACCCUGUACAUGGAUCACCAUGAAAAUAUGACACGAGAAAUAAGCCAUACGAAAUGGUGCUUGAUCAACCUCUCGAGGAUCUGAAUCUGGUUGUCACUUAGAUCCAUUGUUACCAAUUUCUUGCUUGCUCGCUCACUCUCCCAGGCUGCCUAGAGGAACAGGAAGUGGAGGCAGGAAGAUAUCUUCGUUCUGGAUGCUAUCUGACAUCUGGUUUGCUCCUAUUUAUACAUGAGAGGGUGCUGUUUCUCCUCUGUCACAGUGCUGGCGCAACGUCUGUGUGACCUCUGGCUUGGUGCUGGCAGUCUCCUGGCCGGUCUCUCUUAAUGCCUCCUAGUAUUUGGCUUCUUCCACCCUAUAAUGCAGACCGUCCUUCCCUGUAUUGCUCGGGAGCGCCAGCAGCAGAAACGUUGGCUUUGACUUCUGACAACCUCGGCGGGCUCGCUGGGUGGUCUUGUUGGUUUCUCUUUAUGCCUCUCAGCGCCAGCAGUAGCGUGGUAGUACUAGUAAGUGAUGCAUUGUCAGAAGCGUAUCAACAAAUUCAUUUUAUCGGAAGUACUAUUGGGUUUAUUGACCUCCGAUAUAAGAACCAGUGCUUUCCGAUUUAAACCAUAUAAUCUAUAGUUUUAUUUAGCAGAAUUUGCUAAUAAACUUCAAAUCAAACAACUUAAGAGUUUAUGGACCUGCUUCUGUACGUGUCCUACUGGGUUUGGGCCAAGAUAUCAGAGUGACCUGAAAAUGGCCUGUGACAUGUCUUGAGUUCUUAAUAUUUUUUCCUCCCACAAUUAACAUUGUUCCUCUUGUAGAAAGGGAGAUAAUUAAUCCUGAAGUUACAUCCAUGUAUGGCCUGUAACCAUUAUAAUAAAUUCUGCAAUAUUUUAGGAUGCAAUUGAUAGGCAUUAAUUUCCAGCCUCUUAUGUAUGGAUAUCAAAUUAAUGAAGUCAUAGUACAGGUGGGUCGUUAUCCUCUAAACCAUAAUAUGGGAUCAUAUUCGAUGUAAGAAAACUAGCACAUAACAAUGACCGACCUAUUAUUGCAAGCACUAUCAUGUAUCUGCAGGCUAGAUAUGGCAAUAUGUUUCCUUCAGUGCACCAUUGCACUCCUUUUACAAUGGACUUUCUUUUACGAUAUAUGUUCAUCACUUCAUCUACAUGGGAGAUUUUAUUUAGUCUUUUUUUAUUAAACAUGAAACAACACAACAUCAAGACCUUGAUCCACAAUUCUUGUUGCAUGGUAUAUAUUUCACUCGGAUGAAAGUUGUGAAGUAACAUGCCUUUUUCCAAAAGAUUGUUUCCCGUCAUUUGUUCCAAACAUACGAUACAUCCUUCGGCCAUAAAGCUACAACAACUACUACUAGGGAUAACCCUAGCAGUCGUGCUUGUUUUAUAGCUAUCAGUAGCGCUUGUACAAGCGCUACCAGUAAGGCGCUACAACUAACAGGUAGCAGUAGCGCUGGUUUUCUAGCGCUACUGCUAUACCUAGUUAGCAGUAGCGCUCGGUAGGGAAAAGCGCUACUGAUAAUAAUAAGUAGCAGUAGUGUUUCUCUAGAAAAGCGCUACUGCUAAAUUUUCCUGUAUUUUUGAAAAUGCAGCUUAUUGUCGCUGAACUUGUAUAGGUUUUAUAUACAGUACUUUCAUCAUAUGAUUUUAUGACCUUGAUUAGUUAUUAUAUAUAACAGUGGGUGAAAUGAACGUGGUGAUUCAAGUGAGGCAACAUGUGGUGCAUGUUGAAAGUACUACUAAUCCAAACUUGAUCUAGUUUGGAUUUGUUGUACUUUCGAUGUGCACCACAUGUUGCCUCCUCUUGAAUCUAAUCCAUGCUCAUUUCACCCACUGAUAUACUCCCUCCAUUCCCUUAUACAAGGCCACAAACUCAUAUUACACAUACCAAGAUAAAACUUAAUGACUCCUUGGCAAGUCAACUUUUCUUUUCGUUAUCCGGGAUUAUUAAUACACCAUAAGCAUGCAACGAAUGAAUGGGAAGGAAGUGUCUGAGUGUCAUUAUGACUACAUGCAUGUAUGUAUUAAAAAGUUGCUAGUACGAACAAACAUCAUUAAUUUUUGCGUUGAUUACUGUUGGUAGCCUUGUAUUGAUGCGAAAUGUAUUUUGAUAAUGGCCUUGUAUAAGGGAAUGGAGGGAGUAUAUAAUAACUCAUCAUGCUCAUAUACAACUUAGCAUCAUACAUCAUCAUAAUAAUAAAUAACUCGUCAUUGGUAUCAUAAUAACUUGUCCUACUUAUCAUCAUCAUACAACUUCUACUCGUUAUCAUAAUAACAAGUCAUACUCAUCAUCAUCCUAGUCAUCUAACCAACUCUACUUAAUUGUUCCUAGCACAUGAUCAUGAGUAUUAGCUAGGACCUAACUACCCUCUCUAAGGUAAAAUAGCAUAAAACAAGAUAGGCCCUGAAUCUCCACUAUGGAGAAUGGAGAUUAUCCUAUCUCCAGUUCUUGCGCUUCGCACAAUGUUGCUUCCAUGUAGCUGUUGGGGAACGUAGUAAUUUCAAAAAAAUUCUACGCACACGCAAGAUCAUGGUGAUGCAUAGCAACGAGAGGGGAGAGUGUUGUCCACGUACCCUCGUAGACCGAAAGCGGAAGCGUUAACACAACGCGGUUGAUGUAGUCGUACGUCUUCACGAUCCGGCCGAUCAAGUACCGAACGCACGGCACCUCCGAGUUCAACACACAUUCAGCUCGAUGACGUCCCUCGAACUCCGAUCCAUCCGAGUAUUGAGGGAGAGUUUCGUCAGCACGACGGCGUGGUGACGAUGAUGAUGUUCUACCGACGGAGGGCUUCGCCUAAGCACCGCUACGAUAUUAUCGAGGUGUAAUAUGGUGGAGGGGGGCACCGCACACAGCUAAGAGAUCAAUGAUCAAUUGUUUUGUCUAUGGGGUGACCCCCUGCCCCCGUAUAUAAAGGAGUAAGGGGGAGGCCGCCGGCCAAGGAGGAGGUCGCGCCAAGGGGGGAGUCCUACUCCCACCGGGAGUAGGACUCCUCCUUUCCUUGUUGGAAUAGGAGAAGGGAAGGGAGAAGGAGAAAGAAGGGGGCGCCCCCCCUCCCUAGUGCAAUUCGGACUAGUCCAUGGGGAGGGGUGCAGCUACCCUUUGGGGCCUUUCUCUCCUUUCCCGUAUGGCCCAUUAAGGCCCAAUACGAAUUCCCGUAACUCUCCGGUACUCCGAGAAAUACCCGAAUCACUCGGAACCUUUCCGAAGUCUGAAUAUAGUCGUCCAAUAUAUCGAUCUUUACGUCUCAGCCAUUUCGAGACUCCUCGUCAUGUCCCUGAUCUCAUCCGGGACUCCGAACUCCUUCGGUACAUCAAAACACAUAAACUCAUAAAAUAGCCGUCAUCGUAACGUUAAGCAUGCGGACCAUACGGGUUCGAGAACUAUGUAGACAUGACCAAGACACCUCUCCGGUCAAUAAUCAAUAGCGGAACCUGGAUGCUCAUAUUGGCUCCCACAUAUUCUACGAAGAUCUUUAUCGGUCAGACCGUAUAACAACAUACGUUGUUCCCUUUGUCAUCGGUAUGUUAUUUGCCCGAGAUUCGAUCAUCGGUAUCUUAAUACCUAGUUCAAUCUCGUUACCGGCAAGUCUCUUUACUCGUUUCGUAAUACAUCAUCCCGCAACUAACUCAUUAGUUACAAUGCUUGCAAGGCUUAUAGUGAUGUGCAUUACUGAGUGGGCCCUAGAGAUACCUCUCCGACAAUCGGAGUGACAAAUCCUAAUCUCGAAAUACGCCAACCCAAUAAGUACCUUUGGAAGCACCUGUAGAGCACCUUUAUAAUCACCCAGUUACGUUGUGACGUUUGCUAGCACACAAAGUGUUCCUCCGGUAAACGGGAGUUGCAUAAUCUCAUAGUCAUAGGAACAUGUAUAAGUCAUGAAGAAAGCAAUAGCAACAUACUAAACGAUCGAGUGCUAAGCUAACGGAAUGGGUCAAGUCAAUCACAUCAUUCUCCUAAUGAUGUGAUCCCGUUAAUCAAAUGACAACUCAUGUCUAUGGCUAGGAAACAUAACCAUCUUUGAUCAACGAGCUAGUCAAGUAGAGGCAUACUAGUGACACUCUGUUUGUCUAUGUAUUCACACAUGUAUCAAGUUUACGGUUAAUACAAUUCUAGCAUGAAUAAUAAACAUUUAUCAUGCUAUAGGAAAUAAAUAAUAACUUUAUUAUUGCCUCUAGGGCAUAUUUCCUUCAGUAGCUCCCUAUGAUUUUCCAUACAUUUUUUGCAAUCUUCGAUUGUCAUGUCUUCAUCGAUAUUAGAAAUCCGGUAUGAACAAUAGUGAAGCCUAGGAAGACCUGACCGUAAGCUCGUAACAUCAAGGCGACCUUUCAGAAGCAUCAGAUCACCACACAAUCCUUCAGGAUUUUCUGUUGAAAAACAUAGUAAUAACUUUGUAGUUAGCAAUGUAGUUUAGUUUUAGAAAAAUUUAUGCAAAAGAUGCACGGAUGUCGUAAUAGUAAAAAAAUCUUACCAUGCAAUCUCCAUGGAUGUUACCGUAGUUCAACACGUGCACUAGUGGCACGUAUUGACCAUAAUGUGCAGGAGUUUGAUAAUUGAUAUUGUAAUUCUCAACAUCAUUAAUAAAUGAGAUAAGAUGAUCUUUCUCCUGAUAAGUUAAUUCUGCACCAUCAGUAUAGUAGGUUCUGUCUACCAUCUUCCAUACAUUUUUUGAAGAAUGAAAAUAAGCUGUUAACAGAAAUAAGCUGUCAACUAUUUUGAAACAAACAAUAUAAAUUACUUAAUAAAUAUGUCUGAGAAACUCACAUAAAGGUAGAAGUGGAAGCGUAUCAACACGGACCAAAAUGCUAUCGUCAUGAUAACCAAGAUCGAAGGUGACAUACAUACCCUCUUGAAAAUCAUAUGCCUUGCACAGUGCUUCCAUAUUCGAGCAACCAAAAUGGGUUACGCUCUCCGAAUUGUAUAGCUUUACAGCAAAAUCAUAACCAUGAUUGGUCCUGAGAUGAAUUAUCUUUGUCUCCAUAUUUUCAUGAUCUUCGAAAUCCAGAUGCUCCAAGACAUAGCUUCUUGCAUCGCAUGGGAUAAGCUAGUCGAAUUUUGAUCAUGUGUACGAAAAUUAUUUAUAAUUUUUUUUAAAAUUGUUUGUGUAAAUAAAACAAAGAUUAAUCAUGUGUGCCUCCACGGGUGUGCUUCUUGUGGAGCAAAAAAACAUUUUUUUCUCCUUUCUCGCGGAAGCAAAUAUGUGCCUCUACGAGAAGCGAAUCUCGUGGAAGCAAAAGGAACACAUCAUUUUUCCUUUUUCGAGAGGCACAACUGUUGCUCUCGCGAAAGCAAAUAUAUGCCUCCAUGAGAAGCAAAUCCGUGCUUCUUGAGGAAGCAAAAGAAAAUGUGUUUUCCUGUUUUUUAGAGGCACAACUCUGACUCUUGCUGAAGAAAAACUGUGCAUCCAUGAGAAGCAAAUCUAUGCUUCUCAUGGAAGCAAAAAUAACUCAUAUUUUCUCCUUUUUAGAGAAGCACUGGUGUGCCUCCCAUGGAAGCAAUCUGUGCCUCCAUUGAAAAAAAUGUGCUUCUUUUCACGCAAUAGUUUUUUUCUUAUUUUUCUCUCUCCAAAACAAGGGCUAGCCAGGCGAAUACCAAAAAAAUGAAAAAACCAUCUAAAACUCAAAAACGCGUACAUGAAAAAAAAUUCUAAGGGAGUGCCUGAUGUUUACUAUGCAAUGUUUCUUCAUAUAGACUCUGUUGGGACUCCGAGUGCACAGUUUUGUAUGACAUCAGCACAUUUUCCUCGGGUGGAUGACCUACUAUUUAUCAAUUUGUGGGAGGUGUAGGAUGAAGAUGAUUUCUCUCAAACAAACCUGCAAUCAAAUACAAGAAAUCUCUUGGCCCCAACACACCAAAUACAAUGGUAAAUUAUAUAGGUGCACUAAUUUGGCGAAGAGAUGGCGAUACAAGUGUAGUAUGGAUAGUAGCUAUAGGUUUUUGUAAUUUGAAAUAAUAAAAACAAUAAGGUAGCAAGAAACAAAAGUGCGCACAAACGGUAUUGCAAUGCUUAGAAACACGGCCUAGGGUUCAUAAUUUCUUUAGUGCAAUCUCUCAACAGUGCUCACAUAAUUGAAUCCCAUAAUACUCCCUCAACAUAUGACAAUAUAUUUUUAUGUGAAAGCUCUCUUCCCUAUACUAAUCAUUCAUGAAUUGCUUGUAUGACCAAUAUUAUUAUUGGCAAACUUUAAUAGAUUUUACUUUCUAAACCCAAUACAAAAUAUUCCUAAGCAUAUGGAACAUAUAUAAUUUGGGGCUUAUGAUAUUCAAUUCAUUCAACAAUUUACUCUUAGGAUAUAAGUGAAGCACAAGAGUGAACGACAAACUACUCCAAAAGAUUUGAGUGAAGAUCAAUGACUAGUCAAACAAUUAAUUAGCUAUGUGAGGACUCUCCCCAAAUCAAAAUUUUAGAACCAAGUAUUUUAUUCAAACAACAAACAAAAUGAAAAGAUGCUUCGACCAGAACACAUAUCAUGUGAUGAACAACAAACAAGAGGGGAUGCCUUCCGGGGCAUCCCCAAGCUUACACGCUUGAGUCUUCCUUGAAUAUUACCCAAGCUUAGGGUCUUGCUGCUUGUUAUUAUCCUCAUGUUAUAUCUCACCCAAAACUUGAAAACUUCAAUCACACAAAACUUAACGAAACUUCGGGAGAUGCAUUAAUGUAAUAAAACAAAUCAUUCACUUGGGUGCCGUCAAGACAAGAUUCAUACUUGUUUCCAUAAAAUGCCUAGUGUACUCUAUAAUUUAUAUUGACCAAUAUAAGCCAUAGAAAGUAUAAAACAAGCAAACUAUACAUUGAAAAUAGAACGAGUCAAAAACAGGACAGUCUAUAAUGAUAUGAACAAAAACCAUACUUCUGAAACACUAAAAAUUCUUACAAAUUAGGAAAACGUAGGAAAUUUGUAUAUUAACACCGUUUAAAAAUUUCAGACCAAAAGCAUGUUCCAGUGAAUGUUAUAAAUUCCUAGACUUAGCACAAAAGUUUCUGUUUUUGCACAGAAUCAAGUCAACUAUCAUCCGCACUAUCCCAAAGGCUUUACUAGGCACUUUAUUGAAACAAAAGCUAUAAACAUGAUUACUACACUAGCUUAAUCAUGUGAACACAGAUAAAAAGUAGGUAGAAAUAUUGGGUUGCCUCCCAACAAGCGCUUUUCUUUAAUGCGUUUUUAGCUAGGCAUGAUGAUUUCAAUGACGCUCUCAUAAAAGUAAAGAACAGAAACAUAAUGGGAGCAUCAUGAAGCAUAUGACUAGCACAUUUAAGCCUAGCCCACUUUGUAUGCAUAGGUAUUUUGGGAGUAAAAACAAAUUAUGGGAGCAAGAAUCAACUAGCAUAGGAAGGCAAAACAAGUAUGCCUUCAAAACAUUGAACACAUAGAGAGGAAACUUGAUAUUACUUAGAUAUGUAAAAGCAAAUGUUUUCUCUCUCAUAAUAAUUUUUAGUAGCAUCAUGAACAAAUUCAACAAUAUACCUAUCAUACCAAGCAUUUUUUUUCAUAAUCCAUAAGCAUAUAAAUUUUAUUACUCUCCACAUAAGCAAUUUUUUUCUCAUUCAUAAUAGUGGAACCAAACUCAACAAAAUGACUAUCAUAUGAAACUUGUUUGACAUAACCCAAUUGAACAUUAAAAUCAUGAUGACAAUUUUCAUGGUUGUUGUUACUUUUUAUAGCAUACAUGUCAUCACCGUAAUCAUCAUAGAUAGUAACUUUGUUUUCAUAAUCAAUUGAAAUCUCUUCCAAAAUAGUGGAAUCAUCAUUAAAUAAAGUCACGACCUCUCCAAAUCCACUUUUAGCAUUAUUCCUUGAACACCCUCCAAAAUAGUUGGAUCAUUACUACCUAGAGUUGACACUCUUACAAACCCACUUUCAUCAUUGUAAUCAUCCUAAAUAGGAGGCAUGCAACAUCAUAAUAAAUUUUCUCAUCAAAAAGGGGGGCUAAAAAGGUCAUCUUCAUCAAACAUAGCAUCCGCAAACUUAUGGCUUUUCAUAUCAUUAGCAUCAUGGGUAUUAAAAGAAUACAUACUAAUAUAAUUGCAACCAUGCUUAUCAUCCAAAUAUUUUAUGCCAAACGUUUUUGAAUUCUUCUUAUAACAUUUUGGCACAAUUUUCGGAACCAUCUUUUUCAAGAAAGACAUCAUAAAGAUAAAAAACUUGAUGCAACUUCAAUUCCAUUUUUUUGUAGUUUUCUUUUAUAAACCAAACAAGUGAAAAUCGAGAAACUAAAAGAUUCGACUGGAAGAUCUAAAGAUAUAACUUCAAGCACUCACCUCCGCGGCAACAUCGCCCAAAAAGAACUUGAUGUCUACUACACAACUUUUCUUCUUGUAGACUCUGUUGGGCCUCCAAGCACAGAGUUCUGUAGGACAAGAGAAAAUUUUCCUCAAGUAGAUGACCUAAGGUUUAUCAAUCCAUGGAAGGUGUAGGACGAAGAUGGUCUCUCUCAAACAACCCUUCAAUCAAAUACAAGAAAUCUCUUACGUCCCCAACACACCCAAUACAAUGGUAAAUGGCAUAGGUGGACUAGUUUGGCAAGUGAAGUAUGUAUAGUAAAUAUAGGUUUUUGUAAUCUGGAAUAAUAAAAACAGCAAGCUAGCAAGUAACAAAAGUGAGCUCAAACAGUAUUGCAAUGCUUAGAAACAAGGCCUAGGGUUCAUGUAUACCUUCACUAGUGCAAUCUCUCAACAGUGCUAACAUAAUUGAAUCACAUAACAAUCCCUCAACGUACUACAAAUAAUCACUCCAAAGUUCUUAAAAAUAGCAGAGAACAUAAGAUGAAAUUGUUGUAGGUAGCAAACCACCUCAAAUUUAUCUUUCGGAUCAAUCAAUUGAGCCAUCCCUAUAAGUGUCACAAAUAGCCCUAGAGUUCGUACUAAAAUAACAGCAAGUGAUAUCUAUCAAUCAACUCUAAUGUCACCUAGAUACUCCAGUGUCACCACAAGUAUCCAAUGUCCCUAGAUACAUCAAGAUCGUGCCAAAUAAAGAACACGAGAGAGAGAGAGAGAGAUGAUACGUCUCCGUCGUAUCUACUUUUCCAAACACUUUUGCCCUUGUUUUGGACUCUAACUUGCAUCAUUUGAAUGGAACUAACCCGGACUGACGCUGUUUUCAGCAGAAUUGCCAUGGUGUUAUUUAUGUGCAGAAACAAAAGUUCUCGGAAUGACCUGAAACUCCACGGAACUUAUUUUUGGAAAAUAUUAAAAAUAUUGGCGAAAGAAUCAAGGACAGGGGGCCCACCACCUGUCCACGAGGGUGGGGGCGCGCCUGCCCCCUUGGGCGCGCCCCGCUGCCUCAUGGGCCCCCUGGAGCUCCACCGACCUCAACUCCAACUCCGUAUAUUCGUGUUCGGGGAGAAAAAAAUCAGGGAGAAGGAUUCAUCGCGUUUUACGAUAUGGAGCCGCCGCCAAGCCCUAAAACCUCUCGGGAGGGCUGAUCUGGAGUCCAUUCAGGGCUCCGGAGAGGGGAAUCCGUCGCCAUCGUCAUCAUCAACCAUCCUCCAUCACCAAUUUCAUGAUGCUCACCGCCGUGCGUGAGUAAUUCCAUCGUAGGCUUGCUGGACGUUGAUGGGUUGGAUGAGAUUUAUCAUGUAAUCGAGUUAGUUUUGUUAGGGUUUGAUCCCUAGUAUCCACUAUGUUCUGAGAUUGAUGUUGCUAUGACUUUGCUAUGCUUAAUGCUUGUCACUAGGGCCCGAGUGCCAUGAUUUCAGAUCCGAACCUAUUAUGUUUUCAUGAAUAUAUGUGAGUUCUUGAUCCUAUCUUGCAAGUCUAUAGUCACCUACUAUGUGUUAUGAUCCGGCAAACCCGAAGUGACAAUAAUCGGGACCACUCCCGGUGAUGACCAUAGUUUGAGGAGUUCAUGUAUUCACUAUGUGUUAAUGCUUUGGUCGAGUACUCUAUUAAAUGGAGGCCUUAAUAUCCCUUAGUUUCCAUUAGGACCCCGCUGCCACGGGAGGGUACGACAAAAGAUGUCAUGCAAGUUCUUUUCCAUAAGCACGUAUGACUAUAUUCGGAAUACAUGCCUACAUUACAUUGAUGAAUUGGAGCUAGUUCUGUGUCACCCUAUAUUAUGACUGUUACAUGAUGAACUGCAUCCGGCAUAAUUCUCCAUCACCGAUCCAAUGCAUACGAGCUUUUCACAUAUUGUUCUUCGCUUAUUUACUUUUCCGCUGCUUCUGUUACAAUCACUACAAAACCCAAAAAUAUUACUUUUGCUACCGUUACCGUUACUUCCAUACUAGUUUGCUACUAAACACUUUGAUGCAGAUACUAAGUUAUCCAGGUGUGGUUGAAUUGAUAACUCAACUGCUAAUACUUGAUAAUAUUCUUUGGCUCCCCUUGUGUCGAAUCAUUAAAUUUGGGUUGAAUACUCUACCCUCGAAAACUGUUGCGAUCCCCUAUACUUGUGGGUUAUCAAGACUAUUUUCUGGCGCCGUUGCCGGGUGGCAUAGCUCUAUUCUUUGAGUCACUUGGGAUUUAUAUCUGCUGGUCACUAAUGACGAACUUGAAAGAUGAGAAAACAAAAAAAAUUCCCUCAACUACGAGGGGAGGUAAGGAACUGCCAUCUAGCUCUGCACUUGAUUCACCUUCUGUUUUGAGUAAGCUUGCGACACCUAAACCUGCUUCUGCUAUUAAUUCUGAUAUGUCGCAUGUUAUUGAUGAUGCCACUUCUGCUUUGCAUGAUACUUAUGAUGAAACUACUUCUAUGCUUGAUACUACUGUCCCACUUGGUGAAUUUCUUGAUGAACAACUUGCUAGGGCUAGAGAGAAUGAAAUUAUUGAAACUGAUAAUAUUGAUGAUAGUGAUGAUGAAGACUCUUCCGCUAAUAACUAUGAAUUACCUGUUGUGCCUGAGGGCUAUGUUAUGGAUGAAGAAACUAAAAGAGACUUUCUUGCUUGCAAUGAUAGAAGUGAUCUUAAGAAAUUAUUAGCUAAGCUUAAAACAAAAACUCUGAAUGCUAGAAUGAAAUAUGAUCCUGCUUAUGCUACUUCACCUAUCUUCAUUACUGAUAAGGAUUAUGAAUUCUCCAUUGAUCCUGAUAUAAUUAGUUUGGUUGAAUCUGAUCCUUUCUAUGGCUAUGAAUCUGAAACUGUUGUGGCACAUCUUACUAAAUUAAAUGAUAUAGCCACCCUGUUCACUAAUGAUGAGAGAACUCGCUACUUUUAUAUCCUUAAAAUAUUUCCGUUCUCAUUAAAGGGUGAUGCUAAGAUAUUGUUUAAUUCUCUUGAUCCUGGUUGUGUGCGUAGUCCCCCGGAUAUGAUUUAUUACUUCUCUGCUAAAUAUUUCCCUGCUCAUAAGAAACAAGCUGCUUUAAGGGAAAUAUAUAAUUUUGUGCAAAUUGAAGAAGAGAGUCUCCCACAAGCUUGGGGAGGCUUCUCCAAUUACUUAAUGCUUUGCAUGAUCAUCCUCUCAAGAAAAAUGAAAUACUUGAUAUCUUUUAUAAUUGACUAACUCAUGCUUCCAGAGAUUACCUGGAUAGUUGUGUUGGUUCUGUUUUCAGGGAAAGAACACCGGAUGAAGCUGAAAUUCUAUUGAAUAAUAUGUUGACAAAUGAAAAUAAUUGGACACUUCCUGAGUCAGCUCCUGAACGUAUUCCGAGGAAAAGAGGUGUUCUAUUUCUCAGUCCUGAAGAUAUGCAAGAGGCAAAGAAAUCUAUGAAAGAAUAGGGUAUUAAAGGUGAAGAUGUUAAGAAUUUACCUCCUAUUAAAUAAAUACAUGGUCUAAAUUUACCGCAUGUUGAAGAAAUAUAUGAUCUUAAUCCAUUACCUAUUGAAGAAACUCAUGGUCUUGAUAACCCGACACAGGUAGUAAAGGUAAAUUCCCUCUAUAGAUUUGAUGAAGGUGAUAUCCCUCGUUAUAAGUCUGCUAGACAAUGCCUAGAUGAGUUUGACAAUUUUAUUGUUAAACAAGAAAACUUUAAUGCUUAUUUUGGUAGACAAUUGAAAUACAAUUAUGAUAUGCUAGAACACUUGGGUGAUUAUAUGUCUAGAGUUAAAGGUGAACUUAAAUUCAUUAGUAAACAUGCUUCUAUGGUCACCACUCAAGUAGAACAAGUACUUAAAGCUCAGAAUGAUUUGCUCAAUGAAUUAAAUAGUAAGAAUAAUGAUUAUGCUGUUAGAGUGGCUACUAGAACUGGUAAAAUGACUCAGGAACCUUUGUAUCCUGAAGGCCAUCCUAAGAGAAUUGAGCAGGAUUCUCAGAGAAAUAAUAUUGAUGCACCUAGUCCUUUGCAUGCUUCUAGUGAACCUGUUGUAGACACACCUGAGAAUCCAAAUGAUAUUUCUAUUUCUGAUGCUGAAACACAAUCUGGUAAUGAACAUGAACCUAGUGAUAAUAUUAAUGAUGAUGUUCAUGUUGAUGCUCAACCUAGCAAUGAUAAUGAUGUAGAAAUUGAACCUGCUGUUGAUCUUGAUAACCCACAAUCAAAGAAUCAUCGUUAUGAUAAGAGACUUUGUUGCUAGGAAACAUGGUAAAGAAAGAGAACCAUGGGUUCAGAAACCCAUGCCUUUUCCUCCCAAACCAUCCAAGAAAAAUGAUGAUGAGGAUUUUGAGCGCUUUGCUGAAAUGAUUAGACCUAUCUUCUUGCAUAUACGUUUGACUGAUAUGCUCAAAAUGAAUCCUUAUGCUAAGUAUAUGAAAGAAAUUGUUACUAAUAAAAGAAAGAUACCAGAAGCAGAAAUUUCCACCAUGCUUGCUAAUUACACUUUUAAGGGUGGAAUACCAAAGAAACUAGGAGAUCCAGGAGUACCAACUAUACCAUGCUCCAUUAAAAGAAAUUAUGUUAAAACUGCUUUGUGUGAUCUUGGAGCCGGUGUUAGUGUUAUGCCUCUCUCUUUAUAUCGUAGACUUGACUUGAAUAAGUUGACACCUACUAAAAUAUCUUUGCAAAUGGCUGAUAAAUCAACUGCUAUACCUGUCGGUAUUUGUGAGGAUGUGCCUGUUGUGGUGGCGAACGUUACUAUUUUAACGGACUUUGUUAUUCUUGAUAUUCCCGAGGACGAUAGUAUGUCUAUUGUUCUUGGAAGACCCUUUUUGAAUACUGCAGGGGCUGUUAUUGACUGCAACAAGGGCAAUGUCACCUUUCAUGUUAAUGGUAAUGAGCAUACGGUACACUUUCCGAGGAAACAACCUCAGGUCCAUAGUAUCAACUCUAUUGGAAAAAUUCCAUCGAUUAUUUUUGGAGGUUUUGAAUUUCCUCUUCCUACUGUCAAAAAGAGAUAUGAUAUUUUAUUAUCGGGGAUGUGCAUAUCCCCGUUGAGGUAACAUAGUGUUAUGCGAAAUUUCUCCGGUUUCAUGCAAUUCGGAAUGAGUUUCUUAACAAGACUUGAUCAACCUUGUUAGUGGAUUCCUUUUGAUGAGCAUGAGAUGGAUGAAGUUAGAAAGCACAACCUUCUGUACCCUCCUUUUACUUUCUGUUAUUUAGUUGAAAUAAAUUAAAAAUAGUAUUUUUCUGUUAGUUUCCUGAAUUAUCCGUGCAAUAUAAAAAUACCCCGAAAAUAAACGUUCUCCAAAUGCCCUGCCAAUUUAAUAUGAUUUUUUCUGGAAUAUUUGAGAAUAUCUGGCACUAAGAACACAGCAGGGCGAGCAAGCACCUGGCCACGAGGGUCCGGGGCGCGCCCACCCCUACAGGGCGCGCCCCCGGCCUCGUGGGCCCACGGUGGCUCCCCUCCACUUAUGCCAGCCACUACACACUUCUUCUUCCUCCCAAAAAAAUCACCAUCCAGCUCAAGCACGAGUUCUAGCUCAUUUUGCUUCGAUUUUCGAUCUCCUUGCUCAAAGCACCUCUCACAAAACUGCUUCGGGGGAUUGUUCCUUGGUACGUGACUCCUCCAUUGGUCCAAUUAGUUUUUGUUCUAGUGCUUUAUUCAUUGCAAAUUUGUGCUGCCUAGGUGACCAUGGUCUUGAGCUUGCAUGUCAAAUUUAUAUGGUUCCAAGUAGUUCUAAUGCAUGAUAUAGGCUCUAGGCACUCGUAGGAGUAGUUGCAAUCAAUUUUGUUGAGCUUGGUCACUUUUAUUUGAAGUUACUAAAAUUUUCAGCAAUUUUUCAGAGGAAGAAAUAUGUUUAGGAAAAUGUACCAAGGUGGUUCUUCAAGGAAACAAGGACCCAGGCUUGCAAUGCGUGAUGCUGACGAUGAACCACCAAGGGACGCUCCAGAUCGGCCUUGUGAAUGGCCUUCAGAAGACUUUAUGGAUCGAGCAGGAAUCAAGGAAGAAUUUAACGCAUAUUUGCGUAACGCUGAUCUUGUGAGCUUCGAGGCAGAAAAGUGCCGUCAGUACCACUAUCUCACUAGUUGCUUUGUGAGGAGGUUCAAAUUUUCAUCUUCACGUAAUUCUCAAACUGUCAUGUUUGAUCUUUAUGAAAAUUCUUAUACUAUGGACUUAGAGGAUUUUACCACUGCUUGCAAACUUCCACAACGGGGUAGUCCUAGUGAACCUUGCAAAUCUGAAUUUAGAGAUUUUCUUGCUAGUAUAACUGUGGGUGAAUCUAGAGACAUAACACAAGGUACCAUAGGGAGUAUUCAUUUUCCUGCUAUACAUUGUUUUGCUCUCUUCAUAGGUAGGUGCAUAAAUGGUAAGGAUGAAGCAUGUCACAUGUGUGUCCCUGACCUCAGUGUUCUCAGGAGUGCUGUGUUAGGAGACAAACAUUAUAAUUUAGGAGCCAUUGUCGCACGUAGGUUGCAUAAUAAUAAAAUUAAUGGAGAUUUCUUUGGUGGAAUUUAUGCAACCUGUAUAGCUAAUUUUCUUGGUGUAACUAUACGUGAGUAUCAUGUUGAGUUGCCUAAUGUUUGUUUAGAUUAUAAUGCCAUGGUUCAUCAUCGUUUUCUUGAGAGGAACGAGCAGUCCCUCCAGUAUCGCUUAAUCUUUGACAGACGUCGCGCUGUCCAUAUUACUCUCCCUGCUCCUGCCUUCUUUGAUUAUCAGGCAAAAGGAAGACAUGUUAUUACCAGAGAGGAGGUAGAUGAGUACGAGAGGAGGGCGGAGGCAGCUCGCCGACACGCUGCAGCUCAGGAGGCAAUAGCCGCUGCAUCUCAGUACGACCCCGGUUAUAACUUUGCAUAUCCGCCACCCCGUGGCAAUAAACCAACUUAGGCCAAAAGCCUAAGCUUGGGGGAGUACAUAUUUCCCACCGACAUUACAUUUAUGUUUACACACUCAUUGCUAGAUGUCGGUACUCAUACUCUUUCAUUGCACUAUCCAUGCUAGUUUAUUUUUUUUCUUGCUUUCUUCUUGUGUGUUUGAUAAACCUUAAGAAAAACCCAAAAAAUUAGUAAUAGCUUUUAGCUAGUUUACUUUCUUGCUGUAGUAAUAAUAAUUAAAAAGAACACCCAAAAAUAUUUCAUGUUCGUCUUUUGCUUGUUGGGUGCUUUCCCAUGUAAAUAGUUUUAUUUCUUUUCUUUUCUUUGGGGGUCGAUAGGAGAAGACCAUAAUUAAAUUGUUGAAGUGGCUCUUAUAUGCAUUAUUGUUGAUUUAACCAAGAGUCCAUAUUGCCUUGUCUUCUCCUGUUUAUUGAAUGCUCGCAGAUUCCAGCUUAGUCCAAUGCACGUGCACUAUUAUUAUUAUUCACAUCGUUCGGUCGUGCAAGUGAAAGGCAAUUAUGACGAUAUAUGAUGGACUGAUUGAGAUUGGAGAAGCUGGUAUGAACUCGACCUCUCUUGUUUUUGUAAAUAUGAUUAGUUCAUCGUUCCUGAUUCAGCCUAUUAUGAAUAAACAUGUUUGCAAUGACAAUUAGAGAUCAUAGUUGCUCGUGCCAUGCUUGAUUAGCUAUGAGUUAUAAUGGUUUACCUUGCAUGCCAACAUGCUAUUAAAAUGGUUGUGAUGUGGUAUGCUGGGGUGGUAUCCUCCUUUGAAUGAUUUAAGUGACUCGACUUGGCACAUGUUCACACAUGUAGUUUAAAAAAAUCAACAUAGCCUUCACGAUAUUUAUGUUCAUGGUGGAUUAUAUCCUACUCAUGCUUGUACUCAAUGUUUAUUAAUUUUAAUGCAUGUUCAUGACUGUUGUCGCUCUCUAGUUGCUCGCUUCCCAGUCUUUUGCUAGCCUUCACUUGUACUAAGCGGGAAUACUGCUUGUGCAUCCAAUCCCUUAAACCCCAAAGUUAUUCCAUAUGAGUCCACCAAUACCAUCCUAUAUGUGGUAUCUACCUGCCAUUCCAAGUAAAUUUGUAUGUGCCAAACUCUAAACCUUCAAAUGAAAUUCUGUUUUGUAUGCUUGAAUAGCUCAUGUAUCAACUAGGGAUGUCUGUAUCUUCCAUGUUAGGCGGGUUAUUCUCAAGAGGAGUGGACUCCGCUCCUCACUCACGAGAACAUGGCUGGUCACCGGGAUGCCCAGUCCCAUGCUUUAUGCAAAUCAAAUCAAAAUAAUUGCAAACAAAACUCCCCCUGGGAAUGUUGUUAGUUGGAGGAACUCGUUGUUUCGAGCAAGCCAUGGAUUGAUGCUUGUGGUGGAGGGGGAGUAUAAACUUUACCAUUCUGUUUGGGAACCGCCUAUAAUGUGUGUAGCAUGGAAGAUAUCGCCAUCUCUUGGUUGUUAUGUUGACAAUCAAAGUAUGCCGCUCAAAAUAUUAUUUAUCUCUGCAUUAAAAUCGAGCUCUGGCACCUCUAUAAAUCCCUGCUUCCCUCUGCGAAGGGCCUAUCUAUUUACUUUCAUGUUGAGUCAUCGCCCUCUCAUUAAAAAGCACCAGCUGGAGAGCACUGCUGUCAUUUGCAUCCAUUACUAUUAAUUUAUAUUGGGUAUGACUAUCACUGGAUCUCUUUUACCAUGAAUUACAAUGUUUAGUCAGUCCUUGAUCUGUAAAAAGGUGCUCUGCAUUUAUGUUUUGCAGUCUCAGAAAGGGCUAGCGAGACACCAUCUUGUUAUAUCAUAUUAUGAUUGUUUUGAGAAAGUGUUGUCAUCCGAGAUUUAUUAUUAUGGCUCGCUAGUUGAUUAUGCCAUUGAUAUGAGUAAACAUGAGACCUAAGAGUUAUUGUGAAUGUGGUUAGUCAUAAUCUUUGCUGAUAAUUUGAACGAUGGCUUUAUAUAUUUACAACAACAAGAGCAAAUAGAGUUUGUAAAAGUUUUUCUUUAUCACUUUCAGUUUAUCAACUGAAUUGCUUGAGGACAAGCAAAGGUUUAAGUUUGGGGAGUUGAUACGUCUCCAUCGUAUCUACUUUUCCAAACACUUUUGCCCUUGUUUUGGACUCUAACUUGCAUGAAUUGAAUGGAACUAACCCGGACUGACGCUGUUUUCAGCAGAAUUGCCAUGGUGUUAUUUAUGUGCAGAAACAAAAGUUCUCGGAAUGACCUGAAACUCCACGGAACUUAUUUUUGGAAAAUAUUAAAAAUAUUGGCGAAAGAAUCAAGGCCAAGGGGCCCACCACCUUUCCACGAGGGUGGGAGGCGUGCCUGCCCCCUGGGCACGCCCCUGCCUCAUGGGCCCCCUAGAGCUCCACCGACCUCAACUCCAACUCCAUAUAUUCGUGUUCGGGGAGAAAAAAUCAGGGAGAACGAUUCAUCGCGUUUUACGAUACGGAGCCGCCGCCAAGCCCUAAAACCUCUCGGGAGGGGGCUGAUCUGGAGUCCAUUCGGAGCUCAGGGGAGGGGAAUCCGUCGCCAUCAUCAUCAUCAACCAUCCUCCAUCACCAAUUUCAUGAUGCUCACCGCCGUGCGUGAGUAAUUCCAUCACAGGCUUGCUGGACGGUGAUGGGUUGGAUGAGAUUUAUCAUGUAAUCGAGUUAUUUUUGUUAGGGUUUGGUCCCUAGUAUCCACUAUGUUCUGAGAUUGAUGUUGCUUUGACUUCGCUAUGCUUAAUGCUUGUCACUAGGGCCCGAGUGCCAUGAUUUCAGAUCUGAACCUAUUACGUUUUCAUGAAUAUAUGUGAGUUCUUGAUCCUAUCUUGCAAGUCUAUAGUCACCUACUAUGUGUUAUGAUCCGGCAACCCGAAGUGACAAUAAUCGGGACCACUCCCGGUGAUGACCAUAGUUUGAGGAGUUCAUGUAUUCACUCUGUGUUAAUGCUUUGGUCCGGUACUCUAUUAAAAGGAGGCCUUAAUAUCCCUUAGUUUCCAUUAGGACCCCGCUGCCACGGGAGGGUAGGACAAAAGAUGUCAUGCAAGUUCUUUUCCAUAAGCACGUAUGACUAUAUUCGGAAUACAUGCCUACAUUACAAUGAUGAAUUGGAGCUAGUUCUGUGUCACCCUAUAUUAUGACUGUUACAUGAUGAACCGCAUCCGGCAUAAUUCUCCAUCACCGAUCCAAUGCCUACGAGCUUUUCACAUAUUGUUCUUCGCUUAUUUACUUUUCCGUUGCUACUGUUACAAUCACUACAAAACCCAAAAAUAUUACUUUUGCUACCGUUACCGUUACUUCCAUACUACUUUGCUACUAAACACUUUGAUGCAGAUACUAAGUUAUCCAGGUGUGGUUGAAUUGACAACUCAACUGCUAAUACUUGAGAAUAUUCUUUGGCUCCCCUUGUGUCGAAUCAAUAAAUUUGGGUUGAAUACUCUACCCUCGAAAACUGUUGCGAUCCCCUAUACUUGUGGGUUAUCAAGAGAGAGAUGAAACACAUAGCUACUGGUGCAUACCCUCAUGCCCGAUAGAAAAUUAGGUUGUAUGAAUCGUUUGUAGAUAAUUCAUAACGACCUUGGACCAUACAAACUGAACAAAUUUUGUCGCUAUAUAAUUUGUUAUAUGUUGUUAUUAAAAAUCAGUAAUAAAAUUGUAUAUAUUGAACUGACUUAGGAUCUUUUUGUAUAAUUUAUGUCACUAUUCAUGCUGGCAAGAAACCUACAAAUAUUAUAAAGUUGGCUAAUAUAAGUAAAGUCUCACAUAUAUAGAAAAAUAAAUCACUCUUAGUUCUUUUUGGGAUUAUUAUAUGUUGUACUAUUAUUGUAUGAACAAAUAAAGGACAAAAAUUAGAUUGUUUAGUUGUAUUAAUUAUUAAAAACUCGAAAGCAUGGAAGAUUGUUGCCUUUGAUCACUUGGGGUUUAGCUAUAGCUACCUCAUCCUAACCCAUGCCGUCUCUAGAUCAUUGUACCAACUUGUGCUUUUUAGAACAUUUUUCUGCAAAAUGGAAGUGCUGCUUUUCCAGAACAUUUUGAUAUCUUAUUUACAUUUUUAUGAAUUCAUAUGAAUUUGCAAUGAAUUUUUCAAAGUGAUGUUCAAAUGCUCAAAGGGCAUUCAGGAGACCUAAAAUUCUUUUUAGAGGCAAAACUGAGCAGAGUCGAAAACUAGGGGCAAAACUAAAGGAUUGGAACCAACUAAGGGCAAGAAAGGAAUUGUCCCGCCAAUGGUUUUCUAAAUCUCGAUCUGGUCGGAGAUUAAACCAAGACUGAGUAUCCAUAUUUAAGGGGCCUUAUUGACAUGGAUUUUUUUUGCUUGCAGCUUUAUUGUCCAUUCUCACAUGCUUGUCUUAAAAUUACGAAACCUUAAACAAAUAUAUCAAAGUUAUUAAUUAUGUAAGUAGUGUAACUUUAUCAGGUGUAUUAGUUCCUAAUCAGAGCUCAUAGAUUAAGCAAAAAAAUUGUAUGCCAUGCUAAUACGAUAAUUCAAAUGAUGCACGAAAAAAUACACGCAUGGAUAUUAGUUUAAAUAAAUACAAACGUGCUAUUUCCAUGCAAUAAAUACAUGCCACUACAAAUGCAUCGUGAGACCGUGGGCCAUGAUUUUCUUUACAAGGACAAAGACAAUAUGGAUUUGACAAUCAUAUGGAUCUGCAAUCACAAAUAUUAGUUAUGAUGCAGGCUCAAGUAUAAUAAAAAUACUCAUUAUGAACAAUGAAAAAAACAAAAAGAUAAUAUCCAAAACAUCUUAUAAUGAAAUGUACCUAAGGGUUAGAUGACAACUCACUCUUAUGAGACGUUGUGUUUGGAGAUCAAUCAUACACUAUACCAACACAAUUGCAUGUUUAGUGAUUAGCCAGCAGAAAGGUAAGUUUGUAGAACUAUAUACAUAACCUAUGUGUCCAUUUAUAGUAUUAGCCAACAGAAAGAAGUCAUAAAUUUCCCUUUAUAUUCUUUAGUGAUAUCUACAUGACAAUAACUGUCUCACAUCAAAACCACAGGGCCAUACAAUGCAUCCUUGUUUAACUACGAUGGUAACGGAUAAUAGAUACUACAAUUAUUGCGAAAGUUUUGUAUAUCCCAUAACGGAAGAUCCGACACCUCAUAACAACCCAUCCAUCUCAUUCACGGGCCAGAUGACGUCACUGGUUGAUAUCGACGCCCCUAUGGCAAUUAUCGUUUCCUCACCAUGCAAGUGCCUUCUUCCAUGGUAUGAUUUCAUUGUUAGAAUCUCUAACCUUGAUGAGGCGUACAUUUUCGUAGUUGAACACCUCGUGCACUCUCCAAGCCAAGGUGAACAACCAACUAAAGGAGGUUGCAGCGGGUACUACCAACAGAAACUGAUGCAUAACAUUGUGUUGCCAACAUACCUAACUAGGGUGGAAGUGUACGUGUAUGGUAUUUCCUAGUUGCAAAGAGGUGGACCCUAAUGAACAACCUCAAGGCGCAGAUGACGAAACACAAUAUACCCUCAUCGAGUGCCCGAGUUGGACCCUUAGGUGGCCUAAGUGACGAAUACAUUUGGGGACGCACUCCCCCCAGCUAGCAAACACUCUCACCGCUGACACUUUGUACGAAUGUCCCUACACUGGGACCAUCUACUUUGGGUCCUCACCGAGCUGAAGGUCCUUAGGACAUAGUGGUGGCUAAUGAUGAGGGCGCUGACAAAGAUGAGCCGCCGCCCGACACACUAUGAGCAUGGGGAGGAGGAUGUUAAUAUGUAUUUUAACAAUGAAUAUGAUGAUGGCAUGACUUUUGCGGUUAACCAUAAUGCUGUUGAGAGUUUGCUUAAUAUGCCGCUAGUGGACGACACUCAGAAUGAUCAAUGUCCCUCAAAGCGAAUGUCAUGACUCCGAUCACAAUGAAUGGGUCAAUUUGAGACACACUGGGAGCCCCCAGUUAUCGUUGUACCCAGAAGUGGGAGGAAGAAGAGACGUAAAAAGUUUGAUUACACAAGGCACGGGCAUUGCUGGCAGACAGAAACUGGUAUGAAAGUAGAUUGAGGAUCAUCCUUCUAUGUUCGAGGGGCUCAUUUUCCGGUGAACCCAUGGUACCCAGUAAUAUACACGAUCCAUGUUAUUCGACAUGAGAUUUCUUAGGGAUGACAUUCUCAACAAAGAGAGGGUGGACAAGGUCACGUUUCUUAGCCAACCUAAAAAUCGCUCGAUUUAGAUGGUGAAGGUUCCAUCCGGUGUCGGCUUCCUCGAAGAUUUGCCCGCAGACAAAUUCUAUAUUGAUUUCGGGUUACCAUGCCUUUUGUGUAGUAUCUACUUAAGUUUUAAAGAUGCAUGAUGAAAAUGACCUACUAUGUUUACUUCAUUAACCUUAGUAGUCAUUGACGUAUCGAAACAUGACAAUUCUAGCACGGCAACAACAUGAGAGCUUCUUCUCAUAAAUGCUACCAUGGCAGCAAAAAGAUUAACUAAAAAUGCAACCAUGCUAGCUUAUAUUAGCCCCAAGGCUGGAAAAUUCUACCAUGACAACUAAAUGAGCAAUUUGACUCAUAAAUGCUGCCAUGGUAGAGAAAUGAUCCUAUUUGACAAUCAUUGACCCCAUGGUAGCAAAUAUGAGGCCAAAGGCUCAAAAGUUUUUCCAUGAUAACUAAAAGAGCCAUUUAGCCUAGAAUCGUUGCGAUGGCAGGUAAAUGAGCCAUUUCGCUCAGACUUGCUACCAUGGAGUUAAAUGAGCCACUUGGCUCCAACUUGCUGCCAUGUCAGCAAAAAAUGAAUGCAAAACUACCAUCACAACAAACAGCCCCAAGGUUAAAAAUUUCUGCCAGGCCUAGGUUUGCUAUGUGCUAAUCUUGCAAUUUGUUGCCAUGUGCUAUGUUUGGUAUCUAAAUUGCUAUAAAAGACGUUUUUGCUAUGUAUACAUGUUGAAAUAUAUUUGAUAUGAUGUAUGUUGACAUUUGUUCUGUUCAUUACGACAUGUCAAAGAUUCAUCGAUCAAAACUUCAACAGUUCUGAGGCGCCGCAGUGAAGCUAGACAACAAUGCAUGUGCUUUACAAAUUCAGCAUGUGAAAUGAAUGCAUGUAACUCAAUGCUAUCAAUGUGUAUUAUGUAAAUUAAAGGUGUAUGCUGCAAUUUGGAUAUUUGAAUUCGUGUAAAAUGUGAUACAUAAAAUUAUCUAUUUAAUGCAUAACUUUUCUAUUGAUAUAUGAAUUAAAUGUGCAAACGCUACCACGGCAACAAAUACACCGUCGUGUCAUUUCUUUUUGCCCAAAACAAAGUACUAGUGGUGCGCGAAAAUACAAGCACAUCACUGAUACCCCAAAAUACUAGCGCUAUGCCAUUAGUAUUCUACAAUAUUGUCAUGUGAAAGGACCAGGCACGACACUGCAUGCAACUAGUAAGUUACUCGCUUGUCGCUAGUAAUCACUUACCAACGACACGAUAGUAGUAGUGUGCCAGCCGAACGCCGCUAGUAUGCACAUGCACAAGCUGCUAAUAAGGCGGUCAUGUACGUUGGCGGUGGGAGCCACGAUGCUCAUGGGCGAAUCCAUCAACCCACCUCCAACGCCGAUACUCCACCGCGGCAUGCCGCUGAGACCCACCGUUUCUGAUGCGGUAGAUGCAACGCCGCUCCACCUCUUGGCCCCUCCAGUCAGUACCUACUCCAAAACAGUGCCCCCAGGAGAGAGAAUGACACAAGUCUUUGUCAUCAUCCGAUCAGGGAGACCCAGAUCUAGGGUUUCCCCCGGAGCAGAUGCCUCCUGGAGGAAGAAGGGCAUGCCAUCUGCAGGUUCCAACGAACCCAAAUGGUGCCCACCCGCACAAUGAGUCAUUUUCUUGGAGUUGUGUUGUUGUUCUUCAGCAUCCUUGUAUAAUGCCUUGUGCGUGUGUGUUGCGGUAUCGUGUUGUAUUGUGUAGUAUGUGCUGAAUUGUAUUAUUUAUAUAUAAAAUGGAGUGGGAGUCUUUUUGAUAAACAAUAAGAUCAAUUGCCUCACUUGAAACUUGAAAGUGCAUUUUUUUUAUUUUGACAACGGAAGUCAGGGCCAAUGCCGACCUCAUGCGCAGGAAAAGGGACAGGCACACGUACAUCCCAUCUGUAGCCAAGCUUUUUUGUUCUUUUGGACUAGUAGAAAAAGGCCCAUUAGUCCCGGUUCUAGAGGGCCUUUAGUCCCAGUUCUGGAACCGGGACUAAAGGGUCGGUACUAAAGGCCUCCUCCCUUUAGUCCCGGUUCUUAUACGAACCGGGACUAAAGGCCCUCCACGUGGCCGCUGUCUGGAGCUCUACGGAUGAGGGCUGAUUAGAGAUUAGAGGAAAUUUUACGAAUAUAUUUUUUUUGAAUUUUUUUAAAUCCCAAUUUUCAAAUUUGUGUAUUAUUUUACAAUUUAAUCUCUAAUCACCCCUCAUCAGUGCUCAAUUUAACCUCUAAUCUCUAAUCAGCCCUCGUCAUUCCAAAUCUCUAACUUCCCGGCCGGUCACCCAUCCUCUCACUACUCCAGCCUGAGCACGCUUAACUUCCGAGUUCUAUUCCCCCUCGUUUCCAAGUCUGCACUUGUUGUUUUCCUGACAGUAGUAAGAUGUCAAUCCUAUUAACCCUUUGGAGUUUAGCUUGAGCAUGAAGUCACACAUUUCACUGUUUGAGUUUGAAACUAUUAUUUAAAAAACAGUAAUUAUUUAGUAACAUUAAUAUAUCUUGAAUAAGUAGUUUGACCAUUGUUUGACCAUUGUUUGACCAGAUUUGACCAAAUUCAAAAAAACUGAAAUAAUUAUUUAGUAACACUAAUAUUCUUGAAUAAUUAUUUAGUAACACUAAUACAUCUUGAAUAAGUAGUUUGACCAUUGUUUGACCACAGUUUGACCAGAUUUAUCCAAAAUUCAAAAAAAUGAAAUUUGAGCGUAUCUUUUUUUCCUUUAAGAAUUUGAGGAUUCUAAAAAAUUGCAAACAGGCCUUUGUGCUGAACAUUUUGAUAUAUUAUACAUUUUUUCUGACAUCGUAUGCAAAAGUUAUAGCCGUUUUACUUUUUCCCAACACUUUUUGCAAAACAUGUCCAAAUUUAAGUUUUUAAAUUUUCCUAACUAGUAGAUGUAGUAGUAUAACUACAUCUCGAAGGAUUUUAUUUUUUUAAGUUUUUAUCAUUUUCUUUUGUUUUUUUCAAAACUGAAAUGGCGAUGGGGGGGUAGAGUUUGAGACACGAACCCCAUUAGUCCCGGUUUAAGACUCGAACCGGGACUAAAGGGCAUCGCACCCUUUAGUCCCGGUUCGUGUCUCAAACCGGGACUAAAGGUCUAAUCUUUAGUUCCGGUUUGAGAGACGAACUGGGACUAAAGGGCAUCGCACCCUUUAGUCCCGGUUCGUGUAUCAAACCGGGACUAAAGGUCUCAUUUGAACGGGGACGAAUGCCUUUAGCGGCUCAAUCCGGGACUAAUGCUCACAUUAGUCCCGGUUCGUAAUGCAACCGGGACUAAUGUGUAUAUUGAGCUAUGACCAAUACCCUGUUUUCUACUAGUGUUGGUUGCUUUUUUGUUCUUUUGGUUGCUUGUUGAUUGCUUGUUCAUCCGAUUUCUUGCUUAGAUCGGUCUGCUCUCUAUUUUCAAACAGUUUCGGUCUGGGCCUAUUUUUUCAAUUGGAUAAUUCUAGUGCACUAACUUAUCAAAUCGAAAUAAAUGAGUUUAUUAUCUUUUGUUUCCCUUUUUCUAGGAACCUAUUUGUUGGCAUUCGAUAGGACAUAUGUUUUGAGAAACAUCACUGUGGGGGGGGGGGGAAGCGCCUCUGUCGCCCUGGCAUCCAGCAGUGGUCAUCCAUCACCGUACAUAGGUCACGCGUUUGUAGCAUAACCUGAGUCUCCGUAGUUUGUCCGGCUCAACAUAUUGGCCAUUGUGUUGAUCCCCAAAUUCGCGCACAACAUGCUGCAUGAUUGGUUCACGGAGGUUCACCUCCUUGCCAUUGGAGAUCGUUGCAUGUGGUGCACCUUUCUUUGGACUGUCCGACAUCUUCACAUGGCCAAGAGCACGUGGGAUAUUGAAUGUUUGUCAGCGACCCAAGAGUACUCACGCAAUUAGCUGGACACAUCAGAGGUUUUACACAAUUGCAAACAUAGAGCACGCAUGGCAUUUUUGAUGCCAUGAAAACUUGCUACAGAUUUUUUAUUUGGAAUACACAGAGAAAGAAAGGUCGUUGCACGACCGACCUAAACACACACCACGUUCCUAAUGACUCGUACCAUCCCACGGAUCAGAUCGUGCGUGCAUGAUCUACGGCUCCAUGAUUAUCACGUGUGCUCCGAUGUGCCAUGUCAUCCCAUGACUCGGUUCACGACGCGGUAGAAAUGGGAGCAGCCCCAACCAGACACAUGGACUCGACGCAAACAUGCUUGCCGUCGAGACCGACUCUCAGCGCACACCGCGUGCUUGCAGGCAGCUCUAUGGUGCGUUAUUUAGAACAAAAAGAUUGAAGGAAAAAAACCUAGGGCAUGGAUCAGCCCUCGAUCCACAAAAACUGACAUUGCAAAGUUGUCUUAGUGGAUCUCGUCACUCUCCAAGUCAAUCUCGUCGUUCUCCGAGUCGGAUAAGUGGUUGUCCACCUGCUCGUGCCUAGCCUGCCAUGCCGUCAACCAAAAACACCACAUCCAGAUUCCGUUACAUUCAAUCAUCACCCAGGCAGAAAAAACUAAAAUCCUUGGAAAAAUUAAAAGGUGAUCGAGUUCAUACCCUCCUCAUCUGGGCACGGCGGUACUUGAACAAGAGUUUGAUACGCUGGGGCUCCACACGAAGCUCGCGACCGAGAUGAGCGCGUUGGGUCUCAUCAGGGUUGGGGCACUCCUUGAAAACACCGCAGUUUUCAGAAAAAAGAAGAUGAAAACCUUGAAUACUGUGCACAUGGAUCACCAUGAAAAUAUGACAGGAAAAAUAAGCUGUAGGAAUGGUGCUUGAUCAACCUCUCGAGGAUCUGAAUUUUGUUAGGAGAAUAAGACGUGGCUAGCGCGUGCGUGCGGAUGCCAGACGAGCCGGGCAUAGUCAGGGCCGUAGAUGCGUGAGUGUGUGUGUGUAGCAGCACGUGUACGUGCGCGUGUGUGAGCUGGUUGGCGAGGAGCCAGGAAGUGUGACCGCGUCGCCCGGGAUGGGAGUGGCCGCUUCGUCCGCGUAGGAGCGCGGCGGGUGCGCGAGCCAGGAUCCGCGGGACGUGGCGAGUGGGUUGAGUGGGCACGGCCUCGCGUAUGUGCACAGGCGUAUAAGGCUUCCCCACCCCUGUGUAUUGCCAAGGCAGCUGGACUGAGUUCGUGCUCAGGAGAAAAGUGAACGCCGUUAGCGCGGCGGGUGGCGUACCGCGUACGUGCGCCGAAAAACACUUGUGUCCCUGUGUCCUUCUUCUUCCUCCAGUCUUCUUCUUCCUUGAGUGGAGAGAGAGAGAGGUAGUGCUCCGGUGAGUGAGGGAGGAGGGCGCGGCAACAACAAAUGGUAUACAGAGCUUCGGUUCGGGCGAUCACCGGCGACCAUGGCGCUCGUCCCUCACGGCGGUGGCGCGGGCGGAUCGGCGUCGAUGGCGAUGCCGAUGCUCACGGUGGACAACUACACCGUCUGGGCGAUCAAGGUGCAGGCCAUCCUCGAUGUGCACACCGUGUGGGAGGCGGUGGUGCCGGGCGAUGCGGCGGUGAACGCGCGGAAGGACAAGACGGCGCGCGCGUUGCUGCUCGGAGCGCUGCCGGAGGACGUGUUGCUGCAGGUGUUUACGAAGCUUACCGCCAGGGAGGUAUGGGACUCCCUGAAGGUGAGGUUCGUCGGCGCCGAUCGGGUCCGCGCGGCGAGGCUGGCGACGCUGCGCGGCGAAUUCGACCGCCUGAAGAUGGCGGACAGCGAGGAGCUCGACGUAUAAGGCGGGAGGCUCGCGGCGAUGGCGGCGAGGUAUGCCAACCUCGGGGAGACGCUGGGCAACGCGGCGCUCGUCAAGAAGCAGCUGGAUACGGUGCCGGAUCGUGUGACACCCAAAAAAUUUGACCUUGUUUUAUUUAUUAAAAUAUUGCCAGGAAAUAAAACUUUUCCAUUUUGUCAAGAUUUACCCUUUGUGAUUUUUGAUUUUUGCCUCUAGUGGAAAAACCCUUCAAAGAGUAUUGUUGGACUUGAAUACUCUCUUUAAUAGAACAAUUCUUUAUCAGUGGAUUUACAUUUGCUAGAUUUGUUUUCUCAAAGCCUUAUUCUUUUAAAAAUGAUUUCUUUUGAAUUUGGAGCCUGUUUUGCACUACAACCAUUUGACAAAUGCAUUUAAAAUUUCCACCAAAAUUUGGGGAUGUCAUGUGAUGUUUCCACAUCACUUUUAUGCAAAAAUACCUUUUGGCCAUUGGAGAUUUUGAGCUCUACACUAACUUUUCCAAUCUGGUCCAGUAGGCACUUUUGCACUACAACCCAUUUAAAUGUUUCUUUAAAAAUUCUUCCAAGUGUUUGGAGAUGUCAGUGGAUGCAUACAAUUCAUCUUCAUGCAAAAACCCAGUGAUGUUCUUUGAAAAAUUUGAGUGAAUCAUCUUCAUUUCUAUUCUGGUCUAGUUUGGUGAUUUGUACUGCAACCCCAUUUGAUUUUGCUCUAGUACCUUUGAGCUUUUUCCUACCUAUAGUCCUCCCAACCAAACUCUUAAGUCCAGGAGAUUGGACCCAUUGGAGUAUUUUUGGUGCAUGCAAUGUCAGCCUUUAGUUUCUGCCCAAAACUGGUUUUCUCAAAAUCUUGCACUAUCAAGUUUUUGUUUUUGCCAAACUAGCCUUACCACCUUCUUUAGCUCCUAAAGAGACUAGGAUCUGGAGAGUUUGGCCACCCCAAGAAUUGCCUAGUUGCCCAUGGCAUUCUGUCGAACACCCUGUGUGCAGGAACAAGUUUGGCAUGUCCUCUGGUUUGCAUUGUGGACUUGAGCCCCUGACCCAUCCAGCAUGUCCACUAACCUCCCAGAUGUCCCUAACCCUGGCCUGUUGACUGCCAGCCUCACCCAAGCUCCCUAGCGCGCGCUGGCAUUUCGUCGAACACCUGCUGUGCGUGCUCUUGGCGCGGCCAGAGCGCGCGUUUUGCACGUGCGUGCGCUUGGGUCGACGCGUCCCGUCACUGGACCCAGCUCGCCUGCAGAGCCGCGCCACACACUCGCCCUCUCACCAGUAUGCUCCAAGCCGCACUGGCGCCCUACAGCGCCGCCGCCAGAGCUCCCUUGGCGGCACGCCGGCGUCGGCAGCGGGCUCUGCCAUGGACGGCGCCGCCCAAGCCACCCGCGCACGCCAGCUGCCCCAGGGAACAGCCCGUGCUUAUCCUCAUGCUCGUCGGCACGCGUUCGUCGCCGCCACGACACCCUGCAGCUACAGCAAUGGCGACCCGUCGUCGAUCUUAUCCACCGCCGCGGAGCCAGCCCCGUCGUGCUAUAAAAGGAGGCCCCGUGCUCCUCCGAGCACUCAGGCAACCCCAGUCCACCCCCGUAGUGCUCCCGCAGCCAGCAAUCGUCGGGGAAAGUCCUUUCUUCCUCGUCUCCGGCCAGCUCGGUCGCCGCCGCAAUCCAGUGCCAUUCGUCGCAACCGGAGCUUCCCCCGCCAAUCCAACGCCACCAAGAGUUUCCCCAUAGUCGUACGGAGUUGCCUAGCGCCUCGGCCUCGACCAAGGACCCCUGGAGCCCAAAACCCACUCUGCUCCCGAACCAUCGUCCGCCGUGAAGCUCGCCGCCGGUGACCUCCUCCGUCCCCGCCUGCCUAGCACCCACCGGGAGAACCGCCUCGGUCUGACAGAUCCAUCCCUGCCCUCGGGACCCCGUGGGGAGCUGCCGUUCGCCGACGGCGAUCGCCGGAGCCCCGCCCCGUUCGGGCAGAGAGAAAGGAGGGAGAGGAAGAACGGUCAAACCUGACCAGUGGGCCCCCCGGAUCCACUGUCAGUGACCCGCGCGGCCGUUCUCUCUGUUUAAGUGAAGACGCAGACGUUCUGAGUACCUUUCCUCUGCUGCGAAAGCGUAUUCCCCUCGAAACGUUUUCUUUUCUGGUUUUAUUUUAAAAACAGAGUUUUGACCAGACUUUGACCAGCUAUAACUUUUAAAAUAAAACUCCAAAUGAGUUGAUUCUUUUUCCUACCUCUUUCAAAUAUCAUCUAGUUUAUUUUAAGAUUUAUUUCAAAAAUAUUUGAGACAACUUUUUGUACUGUGUUUGAAAUAUUUGUUAUUUGGAUAUUUUGCAAAAUAGGGAUAAUGGAGAGAAGAAAAAGCUUUCAAAAAGUGCAUCCUUUGCAUACUCUUGAAGGCAAGCAUUUCUGAACUCUGGCAUAAUAUUUUGUUGUGGUGUUUUGAUACGAUUACAACACCAUUUGACUUGGAGUAUGCGUUAUCUUUAUGUAACGAUAAAGUCUUGUGUAUGAGUACUUUUUGGGAGAUAUUUUGCGGUCAGCAAUGGACCCGCUAGUGUUUUGGAUCAUCCUCGUGAGCUCCUCAUGCAUACUGGAAGGAAGCCGGGAAAGUCGUGGUCUUGGGUAGACACAAGCUUGUCCCUAGUCCCUCGUCGAGACGAGUAUGUCCGGUAUGGCAUGGUGAGGCUUGAUGAGUGAUGAUUUACUCCGCUAAUGGUAAUAUUGUUGGAGGAUACUUGGACCACCUGAGUCGGUCGUAGGUCGAGUCUUGGUCAGUAGCUUCCCUAUUUGUUGGUACCACCACUUGUCCCUGUCGCAGACAGGGUAUGGUUCAGUAAGUUGUCAACCCCUUACCAAAGCACACACCGUACAGAGAGGCCAUAGUGGAAGAUACCGGAGGCCUCCGGUAGGCAUGCCACUUGGUCCGGGGGCAUGGGUGUUUCCGGUUGGGACCGAGAGGGGGGCACCCCUUAGAGCGCGCGUAUAGAAGUUUGAUCCCAUGCUACGUCGAGGUUGUAGCCUCCCCACUUGGAGUUUCGCUUGGCAGGUGUCGUGGGUGAUUCCAGACAUCGGUGAGUUAAGCUGGUGUGUGCAGGUCAGGCGUGUUUUCAAUUAAAAGGCCGUAGGCGGAAUUAGUCCCGAUGGACUAAGUAAAUCCGUUACUCGUGGGAAAAUAGUACUCCCUCUGCAGAGGAUAUAUCCUGUUGGAUAGCCAUGAUCUUGAGUAAGGACCACAGUUUGAGUUAAAUCUUGUAACGGUUUUCGGAUGGAGACACGGCUAACUGGAUCAUAGUAACGGUAUUCGGAUGGAGAACGAAUCAGCUAGAACUCAGUGACGGUCUUCGGAUGGAGAAACGGCUGGACGAGAUUUUUGUUUAUGACCUGUGACAUCUGGGGAUCGUGUUUUAAUUUUGUUAUUAUUGUGGACUAACCAUUUACAUUAUGUAUUUUAUUGAGUAUCCCUGGGAUGGUUCUACCUCCUGGAUACUCACUGUGUUUAUUCUUUUAUAAGCCCUUUAUGUGGUGUCGCUCAGACGCCCGACUGCGGCAUGCUUGUUGUUUAUUUAUCUUUUAUAAGCCCUUUAUGUGGUGUCGCUCAGACGCCCGACUGCGGCAUGCUUGUUGUUUAUUUAUCUUUUAUAAGCCCUUUAUGUGGUGUCGCUCAAACGCCCGACUGCGGCAUGCUUCUUGUUUAUUUAUCUUUUAUAAGCCCUUUAUGUGGUGUCGCUCAGACGCCCGACUGCGGCAUGGCUACUCUUGCAUUUUCCUCUCGAGGAGUCAUUCAGACACUCGCUUGGCCCUUAGUAUUUUACUUUGGGAUUUCGGGAGGACUACAGCCCGACUUCUCUUUUGUUCCCCAUGCAUCAUUUGUCUGAUUGCACUCGUUAAUCUGUUCUCAUGCAUCGCGUUUACAUUUGUUAUAUCUUAUGUUCGAACUACCUUGCGAGUACUUUCUUAGUACUCACCCACGUACUGCAUGUUCAUAUUAUCUCCGCAUGCGAGCAACGCAGACUUUCGCGGCAGACGAUGUGAUCAUAAUUUUUUUUUUGGAGCAGGAUUGUCCCUUAUUAUAUUAUACCCGUGUUCUUAAUGUUUGCGAGUACAUUCAAACGUACUCACUGGCUUGUCCCUGGCUAUUGUCUUGGCCAGAUUUUCGCGCAUGGAGAUAAGCAUCGCGGUGACAACCUCGGAGCCUACGUGUUGACGAUAGCAGCCUCGCGAAGAUAGGAGUUAUCCUGGUCAGCUGUUCUUGUGGGAAAUGAAGUCCCAUAAACGCAGAUGUACCCAACCGCUUCCGCCCUCAACCAUUAGAAACCAAGUGUUGUACUCCUAGGCCUCAAUGGUCUUGUACUAUAUAUUUUUGUACCUUGCUUGGAAUUCUUGUAUCAAGUUGGUGCCUCAUCAGCUAACAGUAAUCCUGGGGCUGGUGAACACAAAGGCCGUUUUUCUGGGAAAUUAUUAUCCCAAAAAUCCGGUCGUGACAGACUUGGUAUCAGAGCCAGGCUGACCAUUGGCUAAUCCUAUCUUAGCCAGGUCAAUAAACUUAGGUUAACCAAACCACCAGACCUUAGCCUAACCCCGGUCUAGCUUCCCGCGUAAGAUAGCCCCACAGUGACCCGACGCCUUUCGGCGGACGGUGCCCAACCUAUCAGCCUAGCCCGUCGAUCGCGCGCUAGUGACCGACGCCCAACCCGUCUCCAUCGCAAGCGUGCGGAGGAAGACUCCGUCCCCUUUUCCUAUAAAAAGGGCACGCUAGCCUCAGCACAAGACAGCCUCUUUCCCCCCAAAACCAAGCCACGAUGCCUGGUCGCAUCGUUCACAAUGAGACCACGGCAACCAACCUGGGAGGUUUUGUGACCAUGCUCGCAAACCUCACCCGCCGUGCCUAUGCGUUAGAAGAGCCUCCUGAGUAUGUUGUGUACCAGGGACCCAUGUACGGUGAAAGCCGUCAGUAUUGGGCCACUGUGCACAUCUACGGUAGGGGUCUAUCGCCAGAACGCCCCUACAGGUUCACUGGAAGAACAACUUCCUUUGAGCCACAAGCCAUCCAACUAGCAGCCCGAGAAGCUAUAGUUCAACUCCGGCACUUGUCGCCCAGAGUUAACUUUCGCUCGUUCUACUACUACCCCAGUCGUGACGGGUAUGGUAGGCCGCCCCAGGUUGCCAACGGAGACCACGAGACAGAUCCUGCGCUGUUGCAUCUGGUGCGCUAUGUAAGCGCACUACAGCAACUGUUCGAUCAGGUCACCCUUUAUCUGAUCGCAGCUCAUGGAGAACUGGUUCGCCGAGCCCCGGCGAGAAGAGAAGCGGAGCCCGACGCCGACAACCCAGUCGUGCUGUUCGGACACCCGAUCGAUCCCUUGAGGUCUGCGCCAGCCAUCAACCAGAGUACUUUGGUGUCACCAGAAGCGCUUCGUCGCCUUUUGGGAACCCAUUCCAACGGGAUUGUGGCCAACAACCCCCGCGAUGGUCAUCACCACUACCCCGACCCUGCAGUCCCUCAACCUCAACCAGCAAAUCCCGACGGCGAAACCCGUGGAGAAACCUCGGCAUCCGCCAGGCCAGCCCACUUAGAUAUUAACGAAGUAGACAAAGUCGCUCGAGUUGUAUCGAGCCUUAGUUUUCCCACGCUUUGUAAUGGUGUAAUCUUGUGUCGCUUUUAUUUAAUGCUGUCUGCUUGAACGCUCCUAUUUUUGGAGUAGUAACUAUGCAUGUGUAUGUUAGCGUACAGUUGCAUUUUUAAAAUUCAGGCGCAGCUACCAAGACCAACCCCGACGGCACCCACAGUAAUGCGUCACAUUUAUAUGAUAGGUAUAUCUGUGGCUUUGACCCGAGAACAGGAUCGACAACCAGUUACCCUUCACCCCGGUAGAUAACCCAGCCCCGGUGCUAUAUAAAGGCCACCUCGUGACCUUGCCGAGUGCCCCUCGCCUUUGGGCGCAGCACUCACAGCCAUUCCUUGCCAUGCCGACCCCUAGUAUUUAUCUGAGAACCCCAGACGCAACCCCAGGCAGUUUGUUAAAUUAUUGUGGGACUUUACCUGCAGUACCAUGAGUGCCACCCGUCCACCCCAGUACGAGUUGCUCAAGUCGAGGAUCACCCCUUCCACCUCAAAAUAUUGGGCAGUGGUGCACAUCCCUCCCGCAUACCCAAACCAAGACCUAACGGAAGUCUCCUUCGUGAGGAAAUCCAUGCCGACUCCGCAUAUGGCUAUAGAAGCUGCUGCAUACGAGGCGCUCACUCGUCUUCGAUUCGCGGUACCCUAUGCCAGCGAGCGAGGAUACUAUUAUUUUCCGAGUCGUGCAGCACCCGGAGAAGUUGCAUCUUUUCCCGGUGAACGAAUUGAGAGAGAUCCAGUACGGGCCAACCUUGCCCAGUACGUUAUCGCUCAGGAGCGUUUAACUCAGCGGGUAAUGGGUUAUCUCCAGAGCCUCGCUGAUUUAAAUCCUCGGAUCGCUAUUGGCAGACCACUGAGGCCUGACCAAGAAGGGCGCAUUCAUCGACUGGUCAACCCGCUUCCCCCGAUAGAAGAGGAGUGUGCCCCAGUACCAGAGGCGUUUUCUCAGGACCCUAUCUUUUUGCCGUUUUCCUUGUAAUCAUCUCCGCUGUAUUUAUUAUCCCAGUAUUUAAUUUACGUACUGUAAUUUGUGCGAUGGAUCCGAUUGCGAUAUCAUUUAUGCAAUUUUACUGCUAUUAUUUUUGUUUUAACAAAUUUUCACUCGCAAUGUUUUCUUUCCCCGAGUUACUACAGCGUAUGUAUCUCUCCGACAUAGAUUUUAUUCGCGCAGCACCGUAACGGCAGACUCACAGCUACAACCACUCGACCCCGUGCACUAAUUACAAACUCUCGUUCCCUUUUUUUGCGCCUACUGAUCACACCCGAGGACACCACAGUCUCAUUCAGAGAGAUUUGUGAGUGAUCGUUCGGGCGCGAGCUGCCCCAGCACACCAACAGCAGUCAGCCCCGAUGCCGCGCCUAAUCCGCGUGAUCGCCGCCGCCGCGAAGAGCUAACACUCGAGCGGCAGCAUCACGACGAUCAUCCAGGAUCAUCGCGCACAGGAGCACGGAGAACCCCAGCAGCACUGCCAAGCCUCCACACACCAGGACCACAUACCAGUCCGGCAUUGCCUCCGCCAUUAGAGCCUCGGCUCGAGCUCCUGCUAGCAGCAAUGAAGAGGAAGGAAGGAGAAGUAGAAGCGAGGCCAGGUGUGAGGAAGAAGAGAGGAGCACCGCGAUCAUUUUAUAGCCCGAGAUCGGUGUACGGUGGGCGAGGUCCACCAGCGCCACUCGUCGCUCGACCGCCGGUGUUCGGAGGCGAGCCCGCGAGCAGUGCCGACAGCGCACUAGCCCACGAGGUGAGUGCACACUGCACCGGCAGCUAGCACGCCGCGCACUACCACGGUACGGCCUCGAUGCCCUACGAGCUAGGCAUCGCCGGUGGAGGAAGCGCGGGAGAGCACGCGAGAGAGAAGAGAGAGCCAGAGGUAGGAGAAGAGGCCGACAGUGGGCCCUGGGUCCACCUGUCAGUCAAAGAGAGCACUGUGCUCUCGGGUGCGACCAGCGUACUUUGGUAAUUUAGAAUUUAUUCUAAAUUACUGUAUCUGCGUAGAAAUAUCUCGUUUUCCCUAACCGUGGAUUUUUCCACACUACGCCAGUGUACCACACUGUGGUUUUACGCCACUUAUUGCCCUCUCACUGUAGCCGUUUUGUUUUUGUGCAAUUGAAUGAUUUCUUUUGAUAAAAACAGUUUUUGUUCAAAACAGCUUUUAACAAAUCUCGAGGACGAGAUUUUUCUUAAGGGGGGUAGUGUUGUGACACCCAAAAAUUUUGACCUUGUUUUAUUUAUUAAAAUGUUGCCAGGAAAUAAAACUUUUCCAUUUUGUCAAGAUUUACCCUUUGUGAUUUUGGAUUUUUGCCUCUAGUGGAAAAACCCUUCAAAGAGUAUUGUUGGACUUGAAUACUCUCUUUAAUAGAACAAUUCUUUAUCAGUGGAUUUACAUUUGCUAGAUUUGUUUUCUCAAAGCCUUAUUCUUUUAAAAAUGAUUUCUUUUGAAUUUGGAGCCUGUUUUGCACUACAACCAUUUGACAAAUGCAUUUAAAAUUUCCACCAAAAUUUGGGGAUGUCAUGUGAUGUUUCCACAUCACUUUUAUGCAAAAAUACCUUUUGGCCAUUGGAGAUUUUGAGCUCUACACUAACUUUUCCAAUCUGGUCCAGUAGGCACUUUUGCACUACAACCCAUUUAAAUGUUUCUUUAAAAAUUCUUCCAAGUGUUUGGAGAUGUCAGUGGAUGCAUACAAUUCAUCUUCAUGCAAAAACCCAGUGAUGUUCUUUGAAAAAUUUGAGUGAAUCAUCUUCAUUUCUAUUCUGGUCCAGUUUGGUGAUUUGUACUGCAACCCCAUUUGAUUUUGCUCUAGUACCUUUGAGCUUUUUCCUACCUAUAGUCCUCCCUACCAAACUCUUAAGUCCAGGAGAUUGGACCCAUUGGAGUAUUUUUGGUGCAUGCAAUGUCAGCCUUUAGUUUCUGCCCAAAACUGGUUUUCUCAAAAUCUUGCACUAUCAAGUUUCUGUUUUUGCCAAAUUAGCCUUACCACCUUCUUUAGCUCCUAAAGAGACUAGGAUCUGGAGAGUUUGGCCACCCCAAGAAUUUCCUAGUUGCCCAUGGCAUUCUGUCGAACACCCUGUGUGUAGGAACAAGUUUGGCAUGUCCUCUGGUUUGCAUUGUGGACUUGAGCCCCUGACCCAUCCAGCAUGUCCACUAACCUCCCAGAUGUCCCUAACCUUGGCCUGUUGACUGCCAGCCUCACCCAAGCUCCCUAGCGCGCGCUGGCAUUUCGUCGAACACCUGCUGUGCGUGCUCUGGGCGCGGCUAGAGCGCGCGUUUUGCACGUGCGUGCGCUCGGGUCGACGCGUCCCGUCACUGGACCCAGCUCGCCUGCAGAGCCGCGCCACACACUCGCCCUCUCACCAGUACGCUCCAAGCCGCACUGGCGCCCUAUAGCGCCGCCGCCAGAGCUCCCUUGGCGGCACGCCGGCGUCGGCAGCGGGCUCUGCCGUGGACGGCGCCGCCCAAGCCACCCGCGCACGCCAGCUGCCCCAGGGAACAGCCCGUGCUUAUCCUCAUGCUCGUCGGCACGUGUUCGUCGCCGCCACAACGCCCUGCAGCUACAGCAACGGCGACCCGUCGUCGAUCUUAUCCACCGCCGCGGAGCCAGCCCCGUCGUGCUAUAAAAGGAGGCCCCGUGCUCCUCCGAGCACUCAGGCAACCCCAGUCCACCCCCGUAGUGCUCCCGCAGCCAGCAAUCGUCGGGGAAAGUCCUUUCUUCCUCGUCUCCGGCCAGCUCGGUCGCCGCCGCAAUCCAGUGCCAUUCGUCGCAACCGGAGCUUCCCCUGCCAAUCCAACGCCACCAAGAGUUCCCCAUAGUCGUACGGAGCUGCCUAGCGCCUCGGCCUCGACCAAGGACCCCUGGAGCCCAAAACCCACUCUGCUCCCGAACCAUCGUCCGCCGCGAAGCUCGCCGCCGGUGACCUCCUCCGUCCCCGCCUGCCUAGCACCCACCGGGAGAACCGCCUCGGUCUGACGGAUCCAUCCCUGCCCUCGGGACCCCGUGGGGAGCUACCGUUCGCCGACGGCGAUCGCCGGAGCCCCGCCCCGUUCGGGCAGAGAGAAAGGAGGGAGAGGAAGAACGGUCAAACCUGACCAGUGGGCCCCCCGGACCCACUGUCAGUGACCCGCGCGGCCGUUCUCUCUGUUUAAGUGAAGACGCAGACGUUCUGAGUACCUUUCCUCUGCUGCGAAAGCGUAUUCCCCUCGAAACGUUUUCUUUUCUGGUUUUAUUUUAAAAACAGAGUUUUGACCAAACUUUGACCAGCUAUAACUUUUAAAAUAAAACUCCAAAUGAGUUGAUUCUUUUUCCUACCUCUUUCAAAUAUCAUCUAGUUUAUUUUAAGAUUUAUUUAAAAAAUAUUAGAAACAACUUUUUGUACUGUGUUUGAAAUAUUUGUUAUUUGGAUAUUUUGCAAAAUAGGGAUAAUGGAGAGAAGAAAAAGCUUUCAAAAAGUGCAUCCUUUGCAUACUCUUGAAGGCAAGCAUUUCUGAACUCUGGCAUAAUAUUUUGUUGUGGUGUUUUGAUACGAUUACAACACCAUUUGACUUGGAGUAUGCGUUAUCUUUAUGUAACGAUAAAGUCUUGUGUAUGAGUACUUUUUGGGAGAUAUUUUGCGGUCAGCAAUGGACCCGCUAGUGUUUUGGAUCAUCCUCGUGAGCUCCUCAUGCAUACUGGAAGGAAGCCGGGAAAGUCGUGGUCUUGGGUAGACACGAGCUUGUCCCUAGUCCCUCGUCGAGACGAGUAUGUCCGGUAUGGCAUGGUGAGGCUUGAUGAGUGAUGAUUUACUCCGCUAAUGGUAAUAUUGUUGGAGGAUACUUGGACCACCUGAGUCGGUCGUAGGUCGAGUCUUGGUCAGUAGCUUCCCUAUUUGUUGGUACCACCACUUGUCCCUGUCGCAGACAGGGUAUGGUUCAGUAAGUUGUCAACCCCUUACCAAAGCACACACCGUACAGAGAGGCCAUAGUGGAAGAUACCGGAGGCCUCCGGUAGGCAUGCCACUUGGUCCGGGGGCAUGGGUGUUUCCGGUUGGGACCGAGAGGGGGGCACCCCUUAGAGCGCGCGUAUAGAAGUUUGAUCCCAUGCUACGUCGAGGUUGUAGCCUCCCCACUUGGAGUUUCGCUUGGCAGGUGUCGUGGGUGAUUCCAGACAUCGGUGAGUUAAGCUGGUGUGUGCAGGUCAGGCGUGUUUUCAAUUAAAAGGCCGUAGGCGGAAUUAGUCCCGAUGGACUAAGUAAAUCCGUUACUCGUGGGAAAAUAGUACUCCCUCUGCAGAGGAUAUAUCCUGUUGGAUAGCCAUGAUCUUGAGUAAGGACCACAGUUUGAGUUAAAUCUUGUAACGGUUUUCGGAUGGAGACACGGCUAACUGGAUCAUAGUAACGGUAUUCGGAUGGAGAACGAAUCAGCUAGAACUCAGUGACGGUCUUCGGAUGGAGAAACGGCUGGACGAGAUUUUUGUUUAUGACCUGUGACAUCUGGGGAUCGUGUUUUAAUUUUGUUAUUAUUGUGGACUAACCAUUUACAUUAUGUAUUUUAUUGAGUAUCCCUGGGAUGGUUCUACCUCCUGGAUACUCACUGUGUUUAUUCUUUUAUAAGCCCUUUAUGUGGUGUCGCUCAGACGCCCGACUGCGGCAUGCUUGUUGUUUAUUUAUCUUUUAUAAGCCCUUUAUGUGGUGUCGCUCAGACGCCCGACUGCGGCAUGCUUGUUGUUUAUUUAUCUUUUAUAAGCCCUUUAUGUGGUGUCGCUCAGACGCCCGACUGCGGCAUGCUUGUUGUUUAUUUAUCUUUUAUAAGCCCUUUAUGUGGUGACGCUCAGACGCCCGACUGCGGCAUGGCUACUCUUGCAUUUUCCUCUCGAGGAGUCAUUCAGACACUCGCUUGGCCCUCAGUAUUUUACUUCGGGAUUUCGGGAGGACUACAGCCCGACUUCUCUUUUGUUCCCCAUGCAUCAUUUGUCUGAUUGCACUCGUUAAUCUGUUCUCAUGCAUCGCGUUUACAUUUGUUAUAUCUUAUGUUCGAACUACCUUGCGAGUACUUUCUUCGUACUCACCCACGUACUGCAUGUUCAUAUUAUCUCCGCAUGCGAGCAACGCAGACUUUCGCGGUAGACGUUGUGAUCAUAAUUUUUUUUGGAGCAGGAUUGUCCCUUAUUAUAUUAUACCCGUGUUCUUAAUGUUUGCGAGUACAUUCAAACGUACUCACUGGCUUGUCCCGGGCUAUUGUCUUGGCCAGAUUUUCGCGCAUGGAGAUAAGCAUCGCGGUGACAACCUCGGAGCCUACGUGUUGACGAUAGCAGCCUCGUGAAGAUAGGAGUUAUCCUGGUCAGCUGUUCUUGUGGGAAAUGGAGUCUCAUAAACGCAGAUGUACCCAACCGCUUCCGCCCUCAAGCAUUAGAAACCAAGUGUUGUACUCCUAGGCCUCAAUGGUCUUGUACUACAUAUUUUUGUACCUUGCUUGGAAUUCUUGUAUCAAGUUGGUGCCUCAUCAGCUAACAGUAAUCCUGGGGCUGGUGAGCACAAAGGCCGUUUUUCUGGGAAAUUAUUAUCCCAAAAAUCCGGUCGUGACAGAUCGGCUCUUCCCCGUCGUCGCCGGCGUCGAGCAGUUCCACGACGUGACGACGAUGGCGUUCGACGAGGCGCUCGGGCGGCUGCGCGCGUUCGACGAGCGGGUUCGGCGCCCUGGACAAGACGGCGGCGAGCGCGGGGGUGAGCAGCUGCUCAUGACGGCGGCACAGUGUACAGCGCGGGAGCGUCGACACGGCGGUGCUCGGGACGACGACGACGAUGGCAAGAGCGUGGCGUCGAGCAGCGGCGGGGACCUGCGCGGGCGCUACUACAAGUGCGGCGUGCGCGGCCACUUCAAGAGGGACUGCCCCAAGCUGCGGAGGGAGCCGGCGGCGGAGCGCGCGCUGAUGGCGGACGCCGGUGUUGAAGACGGCGGACUCCUCUGAGCCACGGCUUAGGGGGUGAAUGUUAGGAGAAUAAGACGUGGCUAGGCCAUGGCGCGUCGGCCGCGCGUGUGUGCGGAUGCCAGACGAGUCGGGCAUAGUCAAGGCCGUAGAUGCGUGAGUGGGUGUAGCAGCACGUGUACGUGCGCGCGUGUGAGCUGGUUGGCGAGGAGCCAGGAAGUGUGACCGCGUCGCCCGGGAUGGGAGUGGCCGCGUCGUCCGCGUAGGAGCGCGGCGGGUGCGCGAGCCAGCAUCCGCGGGACGUGGCGAGUGGGUUGAGUGGGCACGGCCUGGCGUAUGUGCGCAAGCGUAUAAAGCUCCCCAUCCCUGUGUAUUGCCAAGGCAGCUGGACUGAGUUCGUGCUCAGAGAAAAGUGAACGCCGUUAGUGCGGCGGGUGGCAUACGUGACGCCGGAAAACAUUUGUGUCCCUGUGUCUUUCUUCUUCCUCCAGUUUUCUUCUUCCUUGAGUGCAGAGAGAGAGAGGGGUAGUGCUCCGGUGAGUGAGGGAGGAGGGCGCGGCAACAACAAAUCUGGUUGUCACUUAGAUCCAUUGUUACCAAUUCUCGCUCACUCUCCCAGGCUGGCUAGAGGAGAGGAAUUGGAGGCAGGAAGGUAUCUUCGUACAGGAUGCUGUGCGACCUCUGCCUUGCUCCUAUUUAUACAUGAGAGGGUGGCGUUUCUCCUCUGUCACACUGCUGGCGCAAAAAAGCGCCCGUCUGUGUGACCUCUGGCUUAUUAGCAGUCUCCUGGACUGUCUCUCUUAAUGCCUCCUCCUUUUUGGCUUCUUCCACCCUAUAUUAUUGACCGUCCGUCCCUGUAUUGCUCGGGAGCGCCAGCAGCAGAAACGUUCGCUUUGACUUUUGACCACCUCGUCUCGCUCGCCGGCUGUCUUGAAGGUUUCUCUUUAUGCCUGCUCUGUGCUCUCUCUUGACUUCGUCCCUGGCUUGCUCGGGAGCGCCAGUAGUAGCGUGGUAGUACCAGUAACUAAUGCGAUGUAAGUAGCUUAUACCAACAAAUUCAAAUCAUAGUACAGGUCAAUUGGGUUUAUUGACCUGCCAUGUAGUCCCUCGGUAAAGAAAUAUAAGAGUGUUUAGAUUACUAGUGAUCUAAACACUAUUAUAUUACUCUGCAGAGGGAGUAACAAGCAGUGCAUUCAGAUUUAAACCAUGUAAUAUAUAGUUUCAUUUAGCAGAAUUUGCAAAGCACUUCAAAUCAAACAACUUCAGAGUUUAUGGACCUGCAUCGGUACGAGCCCUACUGGGUUUGGAUGCAACAAACAAAUGCAGAGUGACCUGAAAAUGGCCGGUGACCUGUCUUGAGUUCGUAAUUUCUCCCCUCCCACAAUUACCAUUGUUCCUCUUGUAGAAUGGGAGAUAAUUAAUCCUGAAGUUACGUCCAUGUAUUGGUUGUUAACCAUUAUAAUAAAUUCUGCAAUAUUUUAGCAUGAAAUUGAUAGGCAUUAAUUUCCAGCGUCUUACUUAUGUAUGGAUAUCAAAUUAAUCACUAGUACAGGUGGGUCAUUAUCCUCUAAAUCAUAAUAUUCAAAUUCUAAGUAAGAAAAGAAGCAUAACAAUGACCGACCUAUUAUUGCAAGCCCUAUCAUGUAUCAUAUGGCAAUAUGGUUGCUUCAGUGCACCGUUGCACUCCUUUUACAAUGGAUGCUUUGUGAUAAAACCUCUUCAUCUAGAUGGGAGAUUAUAUUUAGUCUUGUUUUCUUAUUAAACAUGAAACAACACAACGUCAAGAUCUUGAUCCACAAUUCUUAUUCCAUAUAUAUUUAAUUCGAGUGAAAGUUCUGAAGUAACAUGCCUUUCUUAUUUCCUGUCGUUUGUUCCAAAAAUGCGAUAUAUCCUUCAGCCAUAAAACUACAACAACUCAUAAGAACUACAACCAUUUCCCUCUUGCAGAAACUUUUUCUUCCUUCCUCCACAACCAUGAUACCUAGCUACCAUGCAUAUCCAUGAUGAACCCCAACCGCACCAACGCACGCCAUCUAAUCCGGUGGCCUCACGAAGUCGCCGGAUGCGAGCCAAGAGCACCAACCGGCCUAGCAGACCCAUAGCGCAUAUUGCAUGUGCUCGCUCUAGGAUCCCGCGCUGCCAUCUACCGCCGUCCCAUAUUCAAGAGGGAUCCUUGGACUAACCAUGCCAGGCCCAACUGCCGUUGACACCGCCACGACACCAGACAAUGCCACCAUUCUGCGUGCAUCCAUCAACCCACCUCCAACGCCCAUACUCCACCGCACCAUGCUGCCGAGACCCACCGUUUUUUAUGCGGUAGAUGCAACACCGCUCCACCUCUUAGCCCCUCCAGUCAGUACCUACUCCAAAACAGUGCCCCCAGGAGAGAGAAUGACACAAGUCUCCAUCAUCAUCCGAUCUGGGAGACGCAGAUCUAGGGUUUCCCUGGAGCAGAUGCCUCCUGGAGGAAGAAGGGCAAGCCAUCUGCAGUUGCCACCGAAGCCAAAUGGUGCCCACCCGCCUAAUGAACCAUUUUCUUGGAGUUGUGUUGUUGUUCUUCAGCAACCUUGUACAAUGCCUUGUGUGCGUGUGUUGCGGUGUCGUGUCGUGUUGUGUUGUAUGUGCUGAAUUGUCUCAUUUGUAUAUAAAGUGGAGCGGAAGUCUUUUUGAUAUACAAUGAGAUCAAUUGCCCAGUUGAAACUUGAAAGAGCAUUUUUUGAUUUUGACAGCGGAAGUCAGGGCCAAGGCCGACCUCAUGCGCAGGAAAAGGGGCAAGCACACGUACAUCCCACAUGUACCCAAGCUUCUUCCUUCUUUUGGUUGCUUGCUGUUUGCUUGCGCUUAAUCCUACGAGAUUAUCAAUUGUUAAUAUAUUUGCUUGAAUAAUGCAUUAUCAUCUGAUUUCUUGCUUAGAUCGAUGUGCUCUCUAUUUUCAAUCCGUUUUGGUCUGGGCCUAUUUUGCUCAAUUGGAUAAUUUAUGUGCACAAAUUUAGAUCAGUUUAUUCUUCCGUUUCCCUUUUUCUAGGAACCUAUUUGUUGGCGUUCGAUGGGACAUAUGUUUUGAGAAACCUAACCAAAUUAAUUUACCAAAUGCUGACCUUUACUUAAUCAUGUCCCAACCAUUCCUUGUCGUUGGUUUCACGGCAAAAAUNNNNNNNNNNNNNNNNNNNNNNNNNNNNNNNNNNNNNNNNNNNNNNNNNNNNNNNNNNNNNNNNNNNNNNNNNNNNNNNNNNNNNNNNNNNNNNNNNNNNNNNNNNNNNNNNNNNNNNNNNNNNNNNNNNNNNNNNNNNNNNNNNNNNNNNNNNNNNNNNNNNNNNNNNNNNNNNNNNNNNNNNNNNNNNNNNNNNNNNNNNNNNNNNNNNNNNNNNNNNNNNNNNNNNNNNNNNNNNNNNNNNNNNNNNNNNNNNNNNNNNNNNNNNNNNNNNNNNNNNNNNNNNNNNNNNNNNNNNNNNNNNNNNNNNNNNNNNNNNNNNNNNNNNNNNNGCAGUGCUUCGGUUGCCAUGGCAUCCAGCGAUGGUCAUGCCGACGGCCAUCGUCGUACAGAGGGUCACGCGCUUAUUGCCUAACCUAAGUCGUCGUAGUUCGUCCGGGUCAACAUAUCAGCCAUUGCGUUGAUCCCCAAACUCGUGUACAACAUACUGCAUGAUUGGUUCACCGCGGUUGAUCCCCUUGCCAUUGGAGAUCGUUCCAUGCCACGCACCUUUCUUCGGACUGUCCGACAUCUUCACAUGGCCAAGAGCACAUGGAUAUGAUACAGAAUGUUUGUCAGUGACCCAAGAUUACUCACGCAACUAGCUGGACACAUCAGAGGUUAUACACACUAGCAAACCCAAAGCACACAUGGAAUUUGAUGCCCUGAAUACUUGAUACAGAUUUUUUAUUUGGAAUACAGAGAGAAAGGACACCUAAACACACACCACCUUCCUAAUGACUUGUGCCAUCCCAUGAAUCAGAUCAUGCGUGCAUGAUCUACAGCUCCACUAUUAUCGCGUGUGAUCCCAUGUGCCAUGCCAUCCCAUGACUCAUGACGCGGUAGAAACGGGAGCGACCCCAACCUGACACAUGGACUCGAUGCAUGGACUCUGACGCAAACAUGCUUGCCGUCGAGACCGACUCUCAGUGCAUACCAUCUGCUCGUACGCAGGUCUAUGGCACGUUAUUUGGAACAAACAGAUUGAAGGGAAAAAAACCUAGGGCAUUCACUAAGUUUACAUCAAUGGAUCAGCCCUCCAAUCCACAAACCCACAUGGCGAAGUUGUCUUAGUGGAUCUCGUCGUUCUCCGAGUCGAUCUCGUCGUUCUCCGAGUCGGAUAAGUGGUUGUCAACCUGCUCGUCCCUAGCCUGCCAUGCCGUCAACCCCAACACUACAUCGAGAUCCAUUACAUUCCAUCAUGACCAGGUGGAAAAAACUGAAACCUUGGAAAAAUUGAGAGGAGAUCGAGUUCAUAUCCUUCUCAUCUGGGCACGGCGGUUCUUGAACCAGAAUUUGAUCUGCUG
rnacentral:lncRNA from 1 species